CCUAAUCCUUACCCCUCUUCCCCUGACGCGAAGAUGCAGAUCUUCGUGAAAACCCUAACGGGUAAGACCAUAACCCUUGAGGUGGAGUCCUCUGACACCAUCGACAAUGUGAAGGCCAAGAUCCAGGACAAGGAAGGCAUUCCUCCGGACCAGCAACGCCUCAUAUUCGCCGGGAAGCAGCUCGAGGACGGCCGGACCCUAGCUGACUACAACAUCCAGAAGGAGUCUACCCUCCACCUGGUGCUCCGCCUCAGAGGUGGCGCCAAGAAGAGGAAGAAGAAGACCUACACAAAGCCCAAGAAGAUCAAGCACAAGAAGAAGAAGGUGAAGCUCGCCGUGUUGCAGUUCUACAAGGUUGAUGACUCCGGCAAGGUCCAGAGGCUGAGGAAGGAGUGCCCCAACGCUGAGUGUGGCGCCGGCACUUUCAUGGCCAACCACUUUGACCGUCACUAUUGCGGUAAGUGUGGUUUGACUUAUGUUUACCAGAAGGCCGGUGGUGAGUGAGAGAGAUGGCGCCGUCUCUGAUUUCAUCUUUGCUCUAGGAUAUUGAGACCAAUAAUGAGGUUUAGGACUUGGUUUGGUGGAUUUAUCAUGUUUUGUUAUGCUUUAUGAUACUUUAAAGUCACAGUUUUGGAGUUCAAAAUGCUGUUUCAGUUGUUAGAUUCUGGAUUAUCGUUGUUGAAUUCGAUAUGGUCUGAUAACUUCGAUGGGUUUUUACAAUUGAUCACAAUGCUAUUAUUUUGAUUCUAUGUUAGUUGAUUUGUGGGCUAUGAUUACUUUUGUUCGGUGACUUGGUUGUUUACACUGAAGCCUUUGUCCUCCAUCAUGGAAGUGCGAAAUUCUCAACCUCACAAUAUGUUCCAACUGCAUUUAUUUUAGUUGCUUUGCUAAAAACUUGUGAUCUCUUAAAAUUUUGAAGCUUAAUACUCUGUAUUCUGGCCAUGUGGAUGUGGUAAUCCUUUUAGUUAUGAUGAUCUGCUGCUAAGCAGCUCUCCGAAUAAACAGAGCAAAGGUAAUGAGUUUUGCUUCUUAUUGAAGCCCAAACUGGCCUAUAUUUUGGAAGUCACUGUUUUGAUUUUUAUGUCCUAUUAGUCUUGAUUUGGGGAAGAUGUGUUUUAGAGAUGUGCUUGGGACUUUGUAGAGCUGACCAGUCCAGAGGCACUUCCCUCCAAUUUAGAACUUCAAACAAUGGUCCCUUGUGGAAUAAGUUGAGGAUGGGUGGGGGGAAUUUGACAAAAUGGCUAUGUAGCUUAGUGGUAACUAUGGAUUUGAAGGAAAUCUCUUGGGAAAGGAUCAAAUCCCCAUCUUGCCAAAGGCACUAUGUGGCUCUUCAAGUCCCUCUGAUAUCAUUGGAGAAUAAAAAUUCAUAUCUGAUGGAGGUUGUUGCAUUGUUUACCCAGUCAUAUUUUAAGUAUUAAAAUAAAUCUCAACAUGCUAUUCUGACUUCAGUUCAUGGUUUUAUAAAGCACACUUAAAGCGUGCCAAGGCCCAAGGUGCAACCACUUCCCAGCUGUAGCGCCUCGCUUGACAAUACAUGGACCUUGUUGAAGAGGCAUGCCUUGUCUACUUUACUUUUCCUUUUUAAACUCUUUUAUUUUUGAAAUUUCUAAUUAUGUAUUGAAAUUUAUAUAAUUUCAUUACUUGUUUGUUUUAAAUAUUUGGAAUCUUAAAAUUUUUAUUGAUUGGAUUAGAUUUUGAAUCAUAUUUUAUAAAAUUAAUAUGCAUCUUAGGUCAUAUUUUACUUCACUCAAGUGCGCAUCUUGUGUUACGCCUUGUGGCUAAGUUGUAGGAGACUUUUUGUACCUUAGGUGUGCCUUGUGCCUUUUAAAAGUAUGCUUCAAUUACUAUUUGGUUUUCUUCUUCUAUAUGUGUGUGUGUAUGUAUAUAUAUAUAUAUAUUUUUUUUUUUGAUAAAUAAGCACAUAGUAUAUUAGAAGAGGCAAAGAAGCCAAGAAGCAUACAGGGGGUAUACAAGGCAACAAGGCCUCACAACAAAAACAAAAAAGAGCAAGGAAACCCUUCUUCUAUAUGUGUGUGUGUAUGUAUAUAUAUAUAUAUAUAUAUAUAGUCAAUUGGUUCAUUUAAGAUUCCUUUUAAUGUUAGAGGUUUUGUCUUUCCUUGCCCAAAUAAUUUGCAGCAAGGGCUAAGAAUUGGAAGUAGUCCUAUCUGAGCAUUUGUCUUAAUUGCAUUGCAAAUGGUAUUUAAGGUCAAACUAAUCAUAAAUGGCAUCUGUUGUAUGCACUGUUAGGAAUCUUAGCUUUAGGUCAUGAUAUUCGAAUCUUAGCAAAAGCAAAUCUCUCAUAAGGCAACAAAGUUUAUUAAUGCAAUAAAUAGGUUAUAAAUGAGCAAGGAAUAUCCAUCUUUUUGCUAAACAGGAUGUAUUGAGCUCAUAAUUCAUUAGAUACUUUUAUUAAAUAUCAACUAAGUAUUGUAAGGGAAUUGCUCCUUGUUGUUCAAUCAUUUGACAACUUGUCAUUUGUUGAUAAAUGAUCACUAUAAGUCAGACUCAGUAGUAGGUACAUCUUGUUAUGCAAUAGGUUGCUUGGUUUAGGUCUUGGUUCCAUCUUUUGCCUGUUUGUUUUGAUCAACUCCUGGUGCCCGCACUUUCUAUGUUUUUCCUUUGCUUUUGGUUGGCAAUGUUAUUCAUGCUGAUGCUUGUAACACCAAUGAAUUAAUCAAUCCACUUCUGUCACCAUCUUUGUUUAUGCACUUGGUAAUUGGGGGUGGGAUGCCCCUACCAAUGGCGGUUAAGACCCCUUUCAAUAGCUCAAGCACCAGCUUAUUUACAGAUAAAUGUGUCAUCUAGUAAAUACGAUGAUGUUCUGAUAUAUGCGGAGGAUCUCGAGUAAAUAUGAAAAAUAUUGAUGCAAAAAUACUUACACAUUGACUGAAAGAUUUUCCGCAUUCAUUGUGUCAUGGAGGUUGACAAAUCUACUCAAGACAAUUUUAAUCUUGAACUAAAAAUCAUAUUGAAAAGGUGUUAUAAUGAGUGGAAACCAAGCAAGCAAGGAAACGUGAAGACAGCACCAAAGCGCCAAGAUAGGCUCGCAGUGUGGGCGCCUGAGGUUUGAAACAGAGGUUCCAAAUGUCAGAUAUGGCUAUGUUUCUGAUUUUGGGAUUAUUUCAUCCCUUUUAACCAAAUAUAUUUCUUAUUCAUACAAGGCUGUUGAAACUGACAAUUCAGUCACCUCAAGGGAGGGUUCUAGUAGAACGAAUAAUUGAAAUAAUUGUACAUGGGGCUUACCAUUGUAUGACAUGUUUAUUUCAUUACUGGCCCAUGCUAUGAAAUUCAUUUCUUUCUCUUCUCAUAACAGAUUGAAUGUGUGAGGUUUGGAGGUGAGAGAAUAGAUCUCCCCACAUUCAACAUGAUUCAAAUAUUAAUUUGAUUCAUAAAUCAAUUGGACUCUGUAGUCCAAUUCAAGUGGGGGUUCAAAAAAAUGUGUAUCUAUAGCUAACCCACAAAAAGGUUGAGAAACUGUUGGGAAGAGCCUCCCCUAGGCUCUCUGAUGGAAAAGCUUGGGCACUGGCUCAAGCCUGCAAGAUGUUCAACAACCACAUAAUUUAUGGAAGGAAUGCCUGAGCAUUCCUCCUUUAUAUACAUAAGCAUACCAAACAAAAUCAAUACAAGUCUCAACUUAAACAGACGCUCAAUUUCGAGAGCAACCUGGAACUAAUGAACCCUGAUGAACUCGUGGGGGAAGAAUCUCGAAAAAAUUGAAAUUUUUGCUUUCAUGAUCAGUGCAAAGAGUCCAUAACAGGGGAUGUGAAGAACAGCCAAGCAGAAAUACCUGCAGGAUGGACACCGACUUCAGAUAUUGUGUAUUCAUGGGUUAAGGCAAAGAAUAGGAUGAAAUGGCGUAGAUGGUUUACCAUAGAGGCGCCCAUUGUGUUGAAAGCUCGAGGAAAGGGUAUGGCCACCUGAGAGACACGAUAAGUUCAGUCUUGAAGCAAAAGUCUCAGAGCAGAGAGGAUGAUUAAGAACAAUGCUUACCAUGAAAACCCACAAGCGUGGAUGACCCAUUGGAAAAUAACAUAGAUACAGCUCCAGAGCACAAAGUACGACAACCGGAACCAUGGGAAUGGCUGGAAAACAAGAUGGACAGUCGCUUAAUUUUUAUCAGUAGGUUAUUAACUUCUUGAUGAUUCUAUACUUACAAGGCUAUUGAGGCUGGUAUCAAGGAGGAGGAAGAACGCAUUCAUAGUAUGCAUGCAUCCCAUCAACUGCCAACCAUAGAUCAAACCAAAAUCAGUGGAAAGAGGAGAGUGAAAAAUUCAGUGCAGUUCAUGUAUAGUUAAAAGGGAAGGGAUGCCAUUCCCUUCAUCUUUAGAAGAAAGGUUCCUCACCAUGUUCAGUCCAAGGUGUGCAUUUGACAGAAAUGGGACUAUUACACACCAAAAUACAAUGUCUGUUAGGAUUACCGCGCCCGCACAAGUCUGUUGUUAUUGCCCAAGAAGAAAAAUUAGCUUCAACCCGCAUAAUGAAAUUUCUUCAUGAGAUUUUGCAAGAAAACACUUUCUACAAACAUUAGACAGAAAAUUAAAGCUCUGAUUUCUGUGCUGAAUUCUUCUUAGGCUAGUUCAUGAACUGACCUGAUACGCGAUUUGCAUAAGAUAUCCCAACAAUCCUGCUCUCCGCUGAAUCGCCUCUUGGUCAUAGUGGCUUUGCAGCUUGAUGGUGCCUCUGAUUUCUUUUGCCCUGAAUAUCACAGCAGUUGAUGACCUACUCUCUUCCAAAUCCUCUGUAACCCCAUUCUCAGAAGGUGGUUUCAUGGAGUAUACCCAGCAUCCAUAAGCAGACAUGCAGCUCCCGAGCUACAAACAGAAACGAUAUAUAGAGCUAUAUUUAUACUUGUUAUCCAAGCCAUAUGACUGCAUCUAUGUAGUAACCAAGAAACGAUUUUUGUUCUAAAGUAGAAGACAUACCGCAAAGUAUACUAUGACUAAUGAAAAAGUCCACCUGCAGAUCAAAUCAUAUCACAAGAGUACAUCAUCAGAUUAAGAAACAAAACUCAGAUAAAAUCUCUAAGAUUCUCAGCAAUGUAGCAGCUGGGCAGUUGCAUGCAGAAUUUGAAUGUGAAACUCAGCAUUCAAGAUUAGUUGAAUUCAAACCAUAGAUGGUGGAAACGCUUCUCAAAAUAAGUAGUUUGAUAUGAAGUCCUUUUUAUCAUCCACUCCUCACAAUAAAAACAGUUGUCUUCUAUACAAAAUGUUCACUAAUGAUUCAUUAGGAGAGAACAGGAGUGUUGUUGGGUUCUUUAGACUCGAUUAUCAUUUGCUCUUAAUUCUACAAAAAGUUGCAUAAUCUGUUGUUCCCAUCUCAUUUUUCCUAUGACAAUAGCAAGGGCUUCAAACAACAGAUGAUUUUUAUGCAUUUUGUUAUUCCUAACUGAUAUGCAUUCUUCCACAACCCUUAGAAAAGUUCAAUUUUCCCAAAUUAUAUUAAAAAUUUUCUUCGUCAAUAUGAGGGAAAAUUAUGCUAAAGAGUUCUGUAAAUGAGUGAAUUGGCAUUCAAUCAACUGAAUCUUAUCUCUUAAAUCAUGAGGGUUUCGGUUAAUGAAACAUUUGACUAGUACAAUCGUACCGAUUGUAGUGAAUUUUUCUAUUAUCUUCUAUAUCUAGAAAAUUAGUACUCCAAUGGGCACAAAUAUACAGGAACAGAGCACAACAUGAACAAGAACAUCAAGAGAAAUUGAACAAAAUAUAAAUAAAAGAGAAGAGCUUACUCUGUGUAAUAAACAAAGAUUGUAGCAUCCCAUUUGAGGACGUCCCAGGCCAAGAAUCCGGCCAUCACAAAAAAGGAAACCACUCUCAGAAGCAACAGCCAAACAGGGUGCACCCCUCUCCAACAACUGCUCCAUAGCUGUGAAGAGCUCACAUGGCCCAGCCUCGUGGUACCCACAUACCCCUCACAGUCUGGCCUAGCAACCAACAAGCUCUCAUACAUGGUUCUAUCUUCAUAUUUUCCGGAACCUUCCUUAUUCCAUAUCACCCAGAGAGAGCCACAGAAGGCCGCAGCCACUAUCCCAAAACAAAUGAAGUCGUACCAGUACACCACCAUUGCCAUGGUCGAUGAACACACCACCUUGGCCCUUGCCCAGAAAAAGGAAGAUCAAGGAUCCAAAGGUGGAAGAUUGGUAGUUCCAAAAAUUGGUAUUUUGACGGAAUAAACCCUGGAAUAUGGUGUGUUGUGGGAGGUUCAGCUGGAGGUCUGAUCAGGUGGGACUGGUGGUUUUGACUGUCUGGUUUGGUGCUGCAUUCAAAAGUUGUUAAGGGAGUGAAGGCAUGUUGACCCUUAGGAAUUUGGCCGGUGACAGCUCUACAAAAGGAUAUUAAAUUUUAUGGCUGAACAAAUUUUUCAUCCUAAACUUCCAUUUUCAUAACCACUCAUCCAAUAAUUUGGGUCAAUUUUAAUAAUCUAAUGUAUUAUUCAAUCUUUUUUUUUUCUUUUCUUUUCUUCCUUUUUACCGGAGGCUAGUUUGAACCUAAUAGCUUGUUUAUUUUUGUAUUUAUAAAUUAGUGAAGUGAGAAACAAAAUAAGAAAAUAAUUGAAUACUUAUUAUUUAAUGAUUUAAGUUGAUUUUAAAUUAAAUUAUACUUAAGUUCUUAAUUUAAAAUUUAUUAUUUAAUUUUUGUUUUAAGUAUUAAGAUUAUUUAAUAAAAUUAACUUAAAAUAUAUUUUAAAUAAUUAAAUUGACAUAUUUAUUCUCAUAAAUUAUAACUAACGCAAAAAAGGUCAAAUAACAGUAAAAAUGGUGGAGUAGCAAAGAAGAUCCUAGAAGUAUUAGGAGAAACGAAGAUAAAAAUAUAAAAUAAAAAUAUGGAUUUAAGAAUAAGUUAAUUGAUUUUAUUUAUUAUUUAUAAUUAAUUUUUUAUUUUAAAUCAUACUAUUAAAUUAUUUUAUUAAAUAUACUUAAUUUACUUAAUAAUUUAAAUUAAGUUAUUAAACUUAUUUAUUAAACACCCGCUAAGUUUAGAGGAUGUACUCGUAAAUUGAAUUAGAAAAUAUUCUACUUGAUUUUGGGGUUAUAUGUAUUUCAUUAUUGAAGCUACAUGAUUGGCUUGAUUUAUUGUAGAAGUGUAAGAAGAUAUGUACUUUAGCUUAUUUUAAGACAAAAGUCCACCAUGAGAUGUGAAGUGAUUGCAAUUAGUUAAACAAAAUUAUUGCAACAAAUAUGGCAAAAGUUCAUGCCACUAAAAUACUUGAUCGUGGGGUUGGGGACAUACUAUAAAGACAAAAUUAUAUAAAAAAAAUUCUUUUCUUUUUAAUGGUAAAUGGGUGCGAGUAAAUUAAUUUAAUAAUUUAAGGUGACUUAAUAGUUUAAUUUAAGUCAUUCAAUAAAUUAAGUAUAUUUGAUAAAAUAACUUAAUGAUAUAACUUAAAAUAAAAAAUAAUUUUAAUAAAUAAAUAAAAAUAAUUAAUUUAUUCUUAAAUAUAUAUUUUCAUUUUAUCUUUUUAUCCUCAUUUGUCCUAAUAACUUAAUGAUAAGACAAAAAUUAUUCAAAAUUCAUAAAAAUAUUUGAAAAAACUAAAAAAUAAAAAAAAUAAAAAAUACAUAUAUUAAAGUUAUUUUGUAAAUUUAAUUAACAUAAGUAUAGUUAAAGAGAAAAAUAUUAGUAAGUAAAGAUACAUUAGUCUUAAUAUAUAAUUUAUCAUUUAUCUUAUCAAAUUAAUUUUAAUUUAUAAAAUAUUAUAACUUCAUUAUUUGUUUUUAUAUUUUAGUAUUUUUUUAAUAAAUUUAUAUUUUUAAUAUUUUAAAAUAAAAAUAUUUAAAAUUAGAAGGAUAAAUAUAAAAAAUUUAAAAGUAAAGUGAUAGUAAUUUUUUAAAAUAUGAUUAAUAAGAUAAAUGAUGAUAUACUUAAUAUUAAAAUUAUAAUUUAUUUAAUUUAAAUGCAUUUAAUAAUGUAAAAUAAAUAAUAAUGAAUAUGAUUUUUUAAUAUUUAUAUUUUUAUAUUUAAUUAUUAUAUAAAUGAUAUAAAAAGAAUUGUUAAGAAAUUUAUAAUAUUGGUUUUUAUAUUUUUAUUAAUCAAUUAAAUAAAAUUUAAAAUAAAAUAAUUGUUUUAUUUUAACCAUUCGUGUUGGCCCGUGCUUCCGAAAUAUCGGCGAAAAAUCGUGUUGGCCCUCACCCAUGACACACAAACUUAACCAUUCAAGCAAGCUCAGUCUAAAUUUGUUUUCUUUUUCAUUGUCCUUUCCGUUGUUGAAUUGUUGUUUUUUUGACUAAAUAAAAAAAAUCAAAAUAUAUUCAAUUUAAUUAUAUUAAUUAAUAUCAACAGAUUAUUUUAAGUUAAAUAAAAAAAUCAAAUAUUUUGAUUUUUUUCAUUUAAUCAAAAAACAAAUACCCAAAAGUGUAACAUAUAUAGUAAAAGUUUUUCCAUGAGCUACUAUGAUACAAGGUUUGCAAAAAACAGGCAAGUAGCAAUAGAAAUUAUUAUAAAAUCAUUGGUUUAUAAAAAUAUUAAAAUAAAGGCAUUUUAGUCAUAUCUUAAAUGAAUAGCAGUCGGUCCUUUAUAUGAAAUAAAAUAUAUUUUACUCUUUUUAUAUUCAAAAAGUAACAAAAAAAAAACCAUGUGUUUUUAAAUAUUUUGGUCAUGAUACACCUCAUCUUAAUUUUACCAUAAAGUUGGCCCAUAGUGUGAUGUAAAUAUAUUAAUAAAAAAUAUAUAAUUAUACAAAUAUACAUAAAGCUUUAACAUGAGUAUUUCAAUAAUGCUUAUAUUUAUAAAUGAGAUAAUCAUUCUAUUAUAUUAUAUAAAAUAUUAUAAAAAAUAGAAAUUAAUCUGAACCAUUUUAUACACAUUUUUCUUAUUUCUUAUAUGUAUACUAUUGAAAAUCCUCUCAUUCUAUCAAAUAUCUCUAGUCCUUCCUCUUAUCUCUAUCUAUAACCUAUAAUCUUCACAAACAUAUCUAUCUCAUAGCAUUUUUUUAUCAUGACCUAAAAUAUUUAUAGAUAUUUUACUACUCAUUUUUUUAUUUUAUAAAAAUAUUUAAUAUUAUAAUAAUAUAUUUAUAAAUAUAUAUAUAUAUAUAUCAUACCCAAUAGGGCAUAGAUAGAAUCUGAGACCCUUUCCUACAAGGACAUGGGUGUAGUCAGUCUAACAUUUAUGGCAAGAGAGAGGGCAGAAAUCUGGUGAGUUUUCAUGCUCAUCGUGGACAUACCCUUCCAAGUUUGCACAUCUGCAGUCUCACAGUGCCUUGUCUUUAGACCGGCAAGUGGACGUUGAUCCCAAGAAUUUUGGUGUCCUCACCCCAAAAUUAAGCGAUCACAUGUGCCAUUAACAAUGCUAAUCCUUUCAUUUGUGGUUGCAUUUAAGUAUUUAAUAAGAUCCUCCACUCCGCCCACACUUGACAAUCCCUGCAUCAACAAAUCUACCCAAUACCUUGGCUGGCCAGAGUACAAAGAUGACGUUUUACUCCUGCCCAAACACCAAUAUUCAAUCACAACAUGCCAAGUUAUGGAACACAAAGAUUGAAGUUAGAGCUGGAAGUGAUGAUACUUCCACAAUAGUUUACACAUCAAACCAUGAGCUGGAAAAUGGGCACCAAAAUAAUCAAUUUCUCCUCAUCUUUUGUUUUGAAGCCUCAAUCGAAAUGAGCAUUUUUAAGGGUCAUGACAUUGGCAAACGAGACUUAUGAACUGAAGAAGUGGAAAUUAGAAAAGAUCUCAUUGCAGAUUACAAGGAAAUGGCACAUGGGAACUGCUAACAAAGUUUGACUUGCCCUGCAAGUUGAGUUCAAAUUUACAAAGAAGUUCAAAGAAAAAAAAAAUUAAAAUAUUUGCCACUCAUCCAUAAAAUAUUGGCCCAUUGACGAACUGUGAUGAGGCAGUACUGCUCUUAGGAAGCCGAGAAGCUGUGAUUAACCACUGUAAACCCUCCAUCUAUGGCCAAAUUAUGACCACUGAUGUAAGCAGACUCAUCAGAAGCAAGAAAUACAGCAGCCUCUGCGAUGUGCCUGGCCUUCAACACAAUGCCUUUCAGGUUGGAGAGCGCUAGAAUAUUAGCUUCAACUUCACUUGGCUCCAGAUUGUAUGCUCUACAAGAAAGAGGUGUGGCAGUUCCAAAUGGGGACACGCAGUUGACUCUAAUCCCAUACGCCCCCAGCUCGCUGCAGGCCGCUCGAACAAGGCCUAUGAGAGCAUGCUUUGAGGUGGUGUAAGCGUGCGGGCCGGCUCCCCCAAGUGCGGCUGCGACACUGGUAGUGCAUAUGAUGGAUCCUCGGAUACUUCUAGCCACCAUGGCUCGAGCCGCAUGCUUGAUUGUGGCAGCAACUCCGCGGACAUUUGUAGCCAUGGUGUUGUCAAAGCCCUGGAGGUCUAGUUCUAGAAUUCCGGUUAAGGGGCCUAUGAUUCCGGCAUUGCUGAACAGAACAUCCAGGCUUCCAUAUUUGUCCAAGGUGUAUGCCACUGUCUCCUCCACCUGCUUCUCAUCUCUUACAUCGCAGUGUCGGUAACUAACCUUCUCUGAUCCUAUCGAGGAAAUAACCUGAUGGCCUAAUUCAUCUUGAACAUCAGCUACAACAACAAAAGCCCCAUUCUCUGCAAAUAAUCUCACAGCCUCCUCACCAAUCCCACUAGCUGCGCCAGUCACAAGUGCCACCUUACCCUCCAACCUAUCAAACCAUAUUCAUCCAUAAAACAUCUUUGUGAGCAAAAAGGGAAAGGAAAAUACAGAGAUGGAAAUCAAGAAUCAGACAUUCAAGUAGAAGAAAACUCACCUUGGCCUAGACAUUGUUCUCUUGAUGGGUGGCUCAAAUCUUACAAUUAGACUCUUGGAUCUGGCAGUUUAUAUUAGGAUUGUAGUUUGAUAAAUUAUUAGGUUUGCAAUGAUGCUGAGCUCGAGAAAAUAACAAGUGGAACAAACUGUAUUAGCUCAUUAACAAUUUAUUAAUCCCCUUUCCAUCUCUUCAGUUAUUGUAGCAAUUGGUAAUAAAGUAAGAGAGACUAAACACAUUCAGUGCUCCCAGCCAUUGCCUUGGUUCAAGUCAACUAAUCAUAAAAGGCUAAAAAAUUAAAAGAAGCUUGCUCUGUUCCUCUGUUCCUCUGCUUCUCUGUUAUUGAACAACUUUUCUCAGCAAAAGUUUUAUAUAGUUCUCUGGAUUCAUUGGCUUAUUAUUAAAAGCUAUUUAUUUGUCUACUUUUUAUUUCGAAUGGAUCCAUGAUCACAUGAUCACUUUAGCAUCAUUGUCCCCUUGGUCUUGGCCAUAGAUCGGGUCUUCAGAAAAACAAUUCCCUGAAGGGCUUUUUUCCGAUCUUUUUCCUAGGCUACAAUGAUUGAUUAGCACUAAUAAGCAUGGAAAUCUUAAAACCUAUGCACCUCCCCUUCCCUCCUUGUGUCACAACAAUGCAUAGGAAAAGUAUAGUCACCGUCUUUUAUGCAUCAUGUCUGGAUCCAAUGCUUGUGCAACUUCACUGCUGGGCUCACUCUUUCAUGGAUUAGUAGGCUUAAUAGGCUGCGGUGCUCGAGUUAGUGACAUCUCCUGUGUAUCAACAGAGUAUUAACCUCGGUUUCAGGUUGUGCCCUGUAUUUAAUUGUGAAAAUGGUACCAUAUGCAAUGCAUCUUGACUUUUCAAAAUUGAAAAAUUAAUGGCCCUGAUUUAAUUUGAUAAUCUCAGUGUCUGUAAGAUGAAUUGCACAUGGAUCAACAGCAUAAAAUCCAUGGAGUUCAAAUACAGAAUUUGUGUUCAACAUAUUAUUUCCUGAGUCUGGACCUAGUAGUACUUAGAACACUAACCCCUCCAUCAACAGCUAAAUUAUGUCCAGUUACAUAAGCUGAUUCAUCUGAAGCAAGAAACAGAGCAGCCUCAGCUACAUGUCGUGGCUUCAAAAUAAUUCCCUUCAACUGUGAGAAUGAAGAAGCUGAUGCUUCCACUAUACUUGCGUCUACAUUGUACAUGCCGGUUGACAUGCGCGUGGCAACUGCAAAAGGAGAAACACAAUUGACCCUGAUCCCAUACUGCCCUAGGUCAUCAGCAGCUGAUCGGACAAGGCCGAGCACAGCAUGCUUGGAUGCAGUAUAUGCCGGAGGCCCAGAGCCCCCCAGUGUUGAAGAGACACUCCCUGUGCAAAUGAUGGAACCGCGUACUUGCUUUUCCACCAUUGCUCGAGCCGCAUGCUUGAUGGUUGAUGCGGGUCCUCGAAAAUUUGUAGCUAUGGUAUCGUCAAAGCCAUCCAUGUCCAUUUCAAGGAUAGAGCCAAUGGGGCCUGUAAUGGCUGCAUUGCUGAACAUGAUGUCCAGGGUGCCAUACUUCUGUAUUGCGUAGGCCACAGUUUCUUCCACUUGCCUUUCAUCUCUAACAUUGCAAUGGAAGUAACUGGAUUUCUCUGGGCCAAUUGAAGCAACAACCUGAUGACCCAACUCAUCCUGAAUGUCUGCAAUCACCACAAAAGCUCCAUUCUCAGCAAAUAACUUUGCAGCGGCCUCACCAAUUCCGCUGGCUGCCCCUGUGAUUAUUGCAACCUUACCCUCCAACCUGAAAACAUAAACAACCAAAAGGUAGAAUUAAGAAAAUUAUCAACAAUAUAUGUAUCCAACCACUUCCAAUUAUGUAGAUGCCGUCCAUUUUAAGCCUACAUGAGACAGAGCUGGUCAUUACAAAUGGUAUCAUAACUAUGCUCUCCAUGCUUCUGCUAUGCCACUCUAAUACCAUUUUUAAUGACCGGCUUCAUCCCAUAUAAAUAUAGUCUACUCUCUGGAAUCAAAGCAGAGAAUAUCUAUACUAUUAGAAACGGGUUGUUACAACAUAGAACUUGAGACAGAGAUUGCUACCUCGGUUUAGCCAUUGAUGGUUUGCAGGGAGUUUCUUCUUGAGGAAUGGUCUGGUUCAAUGUGCCUUUUACCUUUCAUCUUGAGCUAAUAUAAGCCUUGUGAGGCAUCUCCUUGUUUUGGAUGCAUGCAAAAGAGUCGCCUUGGUGCAGGGGCAUGUUUUUGGUUUAUGUUUGUUGUCAUUGAAGUAGUCGGCAAAAUAUACAAAUUUAUGUUUAUGUCUUCCUCAGUUCAAUCGACAAACAAGGCCUAUUUUUCUUUUUCAUCCUCGCUUUCUUAUCGUUUAGCUGCCCCUGUAGUUUCCAUAUGGUUUGUAUCAGUUUAGCCGGCCCAACUCUUAUUCCCUUCUUUGAUGGCCGUUUAUAGAACUGAAUAAAAUUAAAAGAAUGAAAAUCAAAAUCAAGAAUUUAAAUUUUAUAAAAUAAUUAUGUGAAAAUAAACUAAUAUCUUAAAUUUUGUAAAUAAUUGCAUAUUAAAAAUAAUUUAAAAAUUUUACUAAAAUAUGUGAGUGUUUGAUAAAACUUAAUAUUUAUUAUUUAAUCAAUUAAAUUAAAUUUAAAUUAAAUUAUCCUUAAUUAUUAACUUAGAACUUAUUGCUUAUUUUUUUACUUUAAUUAUUAAAGAUUAAUUGAUAAAAUUAACUUAAAAUUUAUUUUCAACUAUCAAAUUGACACAUUUACCUUCAUUAAUUUUAACUAAUAUUUAUCCUUAUUGAUUUUAACCUAUAUUUAUUUUCUUUAAUUUUAAAUAAUUAAUUUAUUUGUAAAAUAUCUAUAUUUAAAAUAUGGUAAGAUAAUCAUAAAAUAUUUAUCACAAAAAAUGAGUAAUGGAUGUGAAAUCAUGAUACAAAGUGUGAAUAGGUAAAAAUAUUUAAGAUUAAAAAUAAGUUAAUUAUUUUGACUUAAUAUUUAAAAUUAAAAAUAACUUUAAGUUGUAAUAUUAAGUCUGUGAAACUAAGGUUUGGUUAAUCUCGGUUUUGAUGAUAAAAAAACAAAGUUUAGAACUAAUGAUUAUAUUUCAAGUACGAUUAGGCAAAACGAUUUCUAAAGUGGCAAUCACAAAGACAAAUCAAGCCAAAGAGAAAUCAUGAAGAAAAAGACCACCUCAAAGAGAAGUAUUUUUCAAGACCCAAAUUUCAUAAGAUCUCUUUGUAAGGUUGUUGGUACAUUAGGAUUUCCAUGCAUUACAUUUUUUACUUAUGCACCGAAAUCAUCCAAGAGUUAUUUUGCUUUAAAUAUUUUUAAAAUUGGAUGAUUUCAUGUUUUCAACUAAAACCUUGUGUCAAAUGUUUUUUCAAACUUGUUUAAAAGAUUUUAAGUUGAAAAAGUUGGUUGUUGAACCAUAUGAAGAACCGAUCGAUCCCCAACUCAAUUGGUCGAGGGUGCAAAAAAAAUUUCUCUUUCUUCCAGAACGGUUGUUCAACCGGUCAAGGUUGAGGUCCGGUCGAGGUCCAACAAUUACCUACCAAACAUUAAAUGCUAACGACUAGUCAACCUGUCGAACCCCCAAUGGCUAGUUUGGUUUUUUUUCUUCUAUAAAAAGACUUCUAUCUUCAUUGUUUCUAGAACUUAACCUUCUCAAACCUUUCUUGAAUAUAUUUGAGCCUUGGAAGAGUGUUUUGAGUGCACCAUUGUUCUAAAACUUGCAUAUAUUUAAUACAUCAUUCGAUCCUAAUUUUCUUAUAUCAUUUGAGCUUAAAGUUUUUGUACUAGGAUUUUUUGAGAUCAAUUGUUGUUCAAGAGUGGGGUAUCGAUCUCUUGAGAAGUAUAAAGGGUGCUUGGAGCCAAAAGUCCAAGAGGGUGGAUUGGAACCAUAAUUCAAUUGUAUUACUUGAAGGGUUGGUUUGGAAGUCUUGAAUUUACAAAAAGAGACCAUCACCAUAUUCGCCCCCCUCCCCCUCUUCUAGGAUGAUUACCAUAGGUUGGAUUAACCUAAUUUUUCUACCAAAGUCAUUUUAUUAAAUAUGGUUUAUUUAUUUAGGUGGUAUUUGUUUUUUUUUUUUUACUGAAUUUAAAAAUAAAACUUAAAACUAAAUACUGUUAAGUAUUAAGUUAUUUGUUUUUGUAAUAUUUAUAUUAAAUACUAAAAAGUAAAAAAAAAAAAAAAAAAAAAAAAACCUAAUAUGUUACUUUUUUUCAAUCAUUGAACCGAAAAAGUUAUCGAUUCACGGUUUAUUGGUCGGACUGGCGGUCGAAUUGCGGUCGAACCGGUGACAUCAUAAAUAUAUAUUUUAUUAAAAUUAAUAAAUUAAUAAAUUCUAUCUAUCAAUAAGCUGGUAACCCAAGCCAUUAUUUGAUUUCAAGUUAGGGAUUUACCCCAAUUAAUGAUGUCCAGCAGCAAAUAACAGAAUAAUCGAAAUGAAAGAAUGAAAAAAAGCUUGCCCAGCCGUGAGGGGGGGGGGGGGGGGGUUCACCAGUUGGACCACCAGUUCAAGCGAUCCAACCUCGGUUCAAUCCAAAUCUAGUUCAAUUGAUCGGACCAGACCAGAACCGUGACUGGCCGAUGGUUGGAUCGAAACUGUGACCGGCCGGUACGGUUUGAUUUUUAAAACAUUGCUUUUUUUCAUUUAGCAAAAGUCAAAAUAUUUGACUUUUUUUCUUUUUCUAUUCAAUAAAAAAUUUAUAGUAAGUCAUAAAAAAAAUAUAAAACAAAUAACCUAAAGUCAAAAAAUAAAUCACUUUUAACAAAAAAACUAAAAAAUCUGAUUACUUAAAUUAAGUUAUUAAAUUGAUUUGUCAUAUAUCUUUUUAGUCAUUUCUCAAUUUUCUCUAGACUUUUAUUUGCUUAUUAAAUUGUUUUUCUAAAUAAAAAAUAAAAUAAUGUUAAACUUUUAUAUUUAACCACAAAAAAAUAGUUAUUGAAUUUUAUUUUUGAGAAUGUUAUAUUAAAAUUAUUUUUAUAAAAAAUAAUAUAUAUAUUUUAAUAUUUUUAAUUAAAUAAAAAUAAUUCUCCUACGGCAUUUAGUGAAAAAUAUGAGUCCUUUCAGUAGGAGUAAAAAUUUGGUAAAUAACAACUAACAAGGGAGAAACUACUAAAAAAGAGUUGAGAAUUCAAAAUUAUUGUGAAUUACAAAAUUUAGGAGGGUGAGGGUGAUGGGGAGGUGAGAGUGGCAAAGGCGUGUCCUAACAAUCUGUUACACGUGGCAAGCUGAGACGUGCAGAAUCGUAACGAAAUUUGCAUGGGGUACUGCAGCAGGUGGCCUGGGAUUCUGCACCACCACAACGCUGAGCGCAAUCCUAUUCCGUACGGGGCUAUGGCGUGAAAUUAAACCUUCCAAGGCUACAGCUGGUAAACUUAGUUGCCAAAAGAAGUAUGGAUGAACAGGAACCAUAACCAGACAGAUUGAACUAAAAUGGCCUGUUUGGCUUUCGAGAAAGCACGGGAAAAUGAAAAAAAAAAUAAGGAAAAUAAAUAUAGGUGAGUAAUCUGCAUUCUGAAAUUAACAGAAAUAACUCUUCCAUUUAAGAAUCAAAGCAACAUCGUCCAAGAACCAUGGAAAGAAACCCUAAAUCUUCUGCAAAGAAACCCAAAAUGAUAUUUCGCUGGCGCAGAUUCCAUUCAAAGUUUCUCACAUAGAAAGCACCAGUGAACCCUAAUCUACCUUCUACUGUAAACGAACCCAAAAAAGAGUGGAUCUCAUUCUAAUAUUAGGAAGCAUAUUGUAAAACCCUACUCUACUAAAGAUCAUUCCAGACAACUAAAAGAACCAAAGACAAAGAAAACGGUAAUCAAGAAAUCUGCACCAGUUGGUCUCGCUAGUUCUUCUUGUUCUUGUUCUUGUUAUUCUUCUUCUUCUUCUUGGGAGCAGAAUGAUCCUUGAUCAUAUCGUAUAGCUGAGUCCCGAUGAGAAAGCAAAGGUAUGGAUCGACAGUAGCAUAGGCGGCCUUCUCGCAGGUGAGCACUCUGUCGUACCAGUCGUAAUGACUGAUCCUAUCGUACCACUUCAUAUCCUUCUCUGGCCGAACCACAUCCAUGUGCUUCCCCAACACCGCCUUCGCCAGCCGGUCUAGAUCAUAGCGACCAAGAUCCAGAUCCUCCCUUCGCAGCCCCUCAAAAGCCAAAGUCCCCAAAUCCACUGUGUUCACCAUCUUCAACCUUUGCUCCCGCAGCAUCCUCUUCGCCAGCGUCUUCAUACCAACACCAACAGCAACAACGUUUGGAUCAGAGAAAAACUCCGUCACGCACCUCGGCGGGUCGUCGCCAGGCUCCGGCAACUGGUAGAUGAGACAUUGCGAGCCGAUGCAGAGCUGAAGGAUGCCAUAGGGAUCGUCACCGGGGUCGCUGCAGGCGACGUUUUUUAACCAAUCGGCUUCAACCUCGGCACAGACGCCGACGACUAUCUUCCCGUGGCUGUUCCGGCAGCUUUUCAAAACUUCUUUGAACCACUUGGCGGCGGUGAAAUCACAGAACGUGGAAAUGGUGAAGAUGCGAUGUGUGCGCUCGUUCUUGAGGUCCUCCACGAACACUUUGUAGGCGUGGUAAACAUAUCUCCUAUCGUCUACGACGUCCUUCUUCGCUGUGAUUCUCAGCAUCGUUCCUUCACCAGAGACACAGAAACACAAACAACCGGAAAAGAGAGACGGUGAGAAAGGUAGGGUGAGGUGAUCUCUUUUUCCUUACUUAGAGGCGAAGUUCAAAAAUGAAAUCAUUUCAUUUUAGUUUCACUGGCUUGGGUAUUUAUUAUGUUGUAAUUUCAUUAAAUACCAAACAGUUAAUAUGUGUUUGAUAAUUGAAAUUCCAAGUAACUAAUCUCAUAUUUUCAUGUUGUGGAAAGUAUUAAUUUAUUAUUUUAUUUUAUCUUAAAUUUACCAUGUCUUCCAUAUACUCUUCUUUUUUUUCUUAGCUGGCAUCAUAUUCCAUUGAAGAAAUAGACAUGUAAUGAUUUAAUAAUUUAAUUUUUAUGUUUUAAAUAAGAAAAAAAUUAAGGUAGUGUUUGGUUGAAAACAAUUUUGAAUUGUAUCAAUUUUUUAGAGGAUUUUUGAAUUAAAUUUGAUGAAAUAAUCCUAAAUUUGUAAUAAUAAUCUCUUCGGUAUUUGAACUUUGAAAAGCAAGAUAUAAAUGUCUUUCAACAUUUGGAUUCUUUUUAUAUAAGUUUUAGAAGAAAAUAUUACUUUUACUUGUGAAGAUGAAGUGUACUUUUAUCAAACAUAGGUCAUUUUGUAAGUUAAAAUAUAUAGAGAAUUAAAGUUGGUUUGGCGCUUGAUUUAAAAAUAAUUUUAUGUUUUUUAAAAUAGAAAAUUGUUUUGAAAACUUUCUAACACUAUUUUGAUUGCUACUAUUUGAGAAUAAUUUUUAAAAACAAAGAUAAAUAGAUAACAAUUUUAGAAAAUAAGUAAAAAUUAUUUUCACAUGUUUUUAAAAAUAAAAAGAAAACAUAAAACGAUUUGAUUAUGUUUUUUUAAACUUAUUUUUAUUUUUAAAAAUCGAUUCAUUCAAUUGUUGAUUGAUCGCGAAUUACUCUAAAUGAACGGUUCAAAUUAUCCCCUUAUUUUGUAAACAUGAAAGGCGAGCCUUAUUUUAUUAUGACAAAGUCCACACCCACUCCAACCAUUUUGUGGGCUAAGGCUUGAGCCCAAGUGAUGCAUGUGCCCUCUGUGAGGAUGGCUUUUAUAGGCAUCUUUUCAUCCUUAUUUCUCUCAGAAUUCGAUGUGGGAUUGCUAACUAAUAUCAAUGAAAAAAAUAUAACAAAUCUCCACUAAGAGGGCUUGAACCUUGGACCUCAAGUCUAGUUAUCAACCUAGGACACCACUCAGCUAUAAAACAAAGAAAAUAAGUAAAAAUUAUUUUCACCUAUUUUUUAAAGUAAAAAGAAAACAUAAACCGAUUUGAUUAUGGGUGGGUAUUGGAUCGGUCAUGAAUCACCUAAACCAGUGAUCGAAUCGGUGACCCGGUUGAACCAGAUAGUUCUAAACGAAUCGAACGAUUCAAGUUAUCCCCUUAUUUUGUAAACAUGGAAGGGUUCCAUUGGGUUUAAGUGUUUUUGGCUAAAGCCCAUGCUGACCUGUCUUAUUAUGACAAAGCCCACACCCACCCCAAACAUUUUGUGGGCUGAGUCUUGAGCUCAGGUGAUGCAUGUGUCCUCAGGUCCUGUUAUCAACCUAGGACACCACUCUACUACAUACAUUUUGUCAUCAAAUAUGCCAAACAAAAUAAUAUAUAUUAAAUUUUAAAUUUUUUUAUAAUAUUAAAUAAAAAUAAUAUAAUAUUUUUAAAAAUGAUAAAAUUAGUUUAAAUUUUCAUUUUCAUUUUUAAUAUAUUCAUAUUUUAUUUAAUAAAUUUUAAAAUAUUAAUAUGAUUUAAUUUGAUAAUAUCAAAGAUAUAAAAUAAUAUUAAUGAUUUUUAAUUUAUUCAUAUAUAUUUAAAAAAAUUUAUAAUUAUUUUUAAUUUUAAUAAUAUAUAAAUUAUAUAUUCAUGAUGUCACCGGUUCGACCGUGGUUCGACUACCGGUUCAAUCAAUGAACCGUGAAUAGAUAAUUUUUUCAGUUCCAUGAGUUCAAUUAUGAAAAUAUUGUAUUUUAUAGUGAAUUGGAAGCUUUUAAGAACUUGACACCUGGCCAAAUAUGUCUCUUCCUUAUUUAUAAACUACCAUCUAAGUCGUUAUUUGUAAAUGUUUACAAUAAUUCUCUAGAACAUUCGACACAAGUUCAAGGACUUCAAUCUAACAAUGGAGAUGUGCAAAUGUCUAGGAAUCAUUCUAGAAGCUAGUAAAUGUAUAUAAGCUGCAUAAUGGGACAAUUCAAAAUUUCCAAGAUUGCAUUUUAAUUUAUUAUAUGAGUUGCACUUAGGCCCGCCUCCUACUGUCAGUCUACUUGACCUGUGCCACACAUUUCAUAGGACUUUUCUUAAUAGUGCAGUAAUUUAAAAAAGUUAUUCUUAAAUUACUGUAGUGGAAGAAGUUAUUACAAAUAUAGGGUAGUUUUUGCCACAUAAGAGAGGAAAGAGGAGAGAGGGUGAGAGAGGAGAUAGGAGAGAGGAGAGAGGGUGAACGGUAAAAUUUUUUAAAAAAGCGAACUCGUCUCUUGAAGAGACGAGUUCCAUGAAAGAUAAUUAUUCAAGGAAACUCGUCUCUUCAAGAGACGAGUUCCCAUUAAAAAAAAUAUAUAUAUAUUUUUAAAAAAUUCACAAAUUAAAAAAAAUAAAAUAAAAUUUGGAACUAAAGGGAACUCGUCUGAAGAGACGAGUUCCCAUGGGAAAAAAAAUCCCAAAAAAAAAAAAAAAAUCCUAAAGGAACUCGUCUCUUGAAGAGACGAGUUCCCAUGUAAAAAAAAAAAUAUUUUUUUAAAUAUAUAUUAAAAAAAAUAAAAAUAAAAAAAUAAAAAAAACAAUUCCUCAAAAUUCCUAAAGGGAACUCGUCUCUUAUAAAAAAAAAUACAGUAAUUUUCAAGAGACGAGUUCCCUUUACGAAAAAAAUAUUUUUUUAAAAAAAUAUAUUUUUUAUUUUAAAAAAUCCCANNNNNNNNNNNNNNNNNNNNNNNNNNNNNNNNNNNNNNNNNNNNNNNNNNNNNNNNNNNNNNNNNNNNNNNNNNNNNNNNNNNNNNNNNNNNNNNNNNNNUUCCUAAAGUGAAGAGACGAAUUCCCUUUAGGAAUUUUGAGGAAUUGUUUUUUUUUUUUUUUUUUAAUAUAUAUAUUUAAAAAAAUAUUUUUUUUUUUACAUGGGAACUCGUCUCUUCAAGAGACGAGUUCCCUUUGAAAUUGUGUGUUUUUUUUUUUUUUUUUUUAAUUUGGGAUUUUUUAAAAUAUAAAAUAUAUUUUUAAAAAAAAAUAUUUUUUUUACAUGGGAAUUCGUCUCUUGAAGAGACGAGUUCUGAAUUUUGAGGAAUUGUUUUUUUUUUUUUAAUAUAUAUAUAUUUAAAUAUAUAUAUAUAUAUAUAUAUAUAUAUAUAUAUAUAUAUAUAUAUAUAUAUAUUUUUACAUGGGAACUCGUCUCUUUGGAAUUGUGUGUUUUUUUUUUUUUUUUUUUUUUAAUUUGAGAUUUUUUAAAAUAAAAAAUAUAUUUUUUUCCUAAAGGAACUCGUCUCUUCAAGAGACAAGUUCCCUUGAGUAAACUCUUUUUUACAUGGAACUUGGGAACUCGUCUGUUGAAGAGACGAGUUCCUCUAGGAAUUUUGAGGAAUUGUUUUUUAUUUUAUUUUAUUUUAUAUUUUAAUAUAUAUAUUUUAAAAAAAUAUAUUUUUUUUACAUGAGAACUCGUCUCUUGAAGAGACGAGUUCCCUUUGGAAUUGUGUGUAAGAGACGAGUUCCCUUUGGAAUUGUGUGUGUGUGAGUGUUUUUUUUUUUUUUUUUUUUAAAUAAAAAAUAUAUUUUUUAAAAAAAUUAUUUUUUUUCCUAAAGGGAACUCUGAUUUUAUUUUUUAUUUUUUUUUACAUGGGAACUCGUCUCUUCAAGAGACGAGUUCCCUUUAGGAAUUUUGAGGAAUUGUUUUUUUUUUUUUUUAAUAUAUAUAUUUAAAAAAAAGUAUAUUUUUUUUGCAUGGGAACUCGUCUCUUGAAGAGACGAGUUCGCUUUUUUUAAAAAUUUUAUUCCUUCACCCUCUCUCCUCUCUCCUCUCUCCUAUGUGGCAAAAACUACCAUAUAUUUGUAAUAACUUCUUUCACUACAUUAAUUUAAGAAUAACUUUUUUAAAUUACUACUUGAGAAAAGUCCGGACACAUCCAUAUGUAUAUAUAUAUAUAUAUAUAUAUAUAAUAUAUACGCCCGACGCCGAAGAAAGGAAGGACAAAUGCAAAUCAAAGAAAGUAAAAGGCUAAAAGCACAAGAUAACAACGCAAAGUUUUUGCGUGACGGCCAAGAGUGACUUUUUCAAGGGCAUUUUAGUAUUUUACAAUUAAGCUUGUCGGCCUACCACUCUCUUAUUUUGUUCUCGCGAUUCUCCGCUCCACUAUUUGAGUCCGCAACCUUUGAUUGACUUGGUUUCAGUUGUUCGAAAAUGCCCCUACCGGUUUUGGCCCUUGGGCGUUCCUAAAAUGAUUGAAGCACUUCCUUUUGUUUCCAAGGAAGCUUUUUGGUUCAACUCGGAUUCCCAAAGCCGAUCUAUUUCUAUUUUCUAUAUAUAAUUCACCGGUUCCACGAACCCUAGAAAUCAUCGUGUAAGCGCACCACCAGGUGUCCUGGAUUAUAUGUUUGUUUUAAAACCCUAGAUCUUCAUCUUCAUCUUGUCUUUAAUCUCUCUUCCUUUCGAUCUCUCUCAUACAUAGAGAAAGAGAAGAGAGCAAUGGACGAUAGCUGUGCCGUUUGCGCCGAGACUCUCGAAUGGGUUUCGUACGGACCAUGUGGCCAUCGCGAUGUGUGCUCGACUUGCGUGGCUCGUCUUCGCUUCAUCUGCGACGAUCGCCGUUGCUGCAUCUGCAAAACCGAGUGCAACGUUGUCUUUGUCACGAAGGUUCCGGUCUUUCUUUUACCUUUUGACACUUGUUGAAUCUGUAAUUGUUUGAUUCUUGAUUGAGUAUACCGUUUGGUUGCUGAGAAAUUAGGGGAAAUGAAGCUGUCGGGUUAACUAGUCAAUUAUUUGGUUGAGUUGAGUUAAAAUUAUGGUUUUAUUCUUUUUGUAAAUGAAUUAAAAACAGUAAUUAAUUGGAAAAAUUUAGAUUUCAUUGUCAUUUUUUUUCUCUUUCCCUCCGUUUUCUAUGGGCAAAACAGGCUAAGGUUGAUAAAUAGAAAAAACUUGUGAGAGUAAGUUAAAGUUGCAUUCCCUUGGGAUAAAGUAUUUGAUAAAUGGAACCUAGUUGCAUUUAGUUUGUUAAUUUGUAUUCUGUUCAAUUUGAGCAAUACACAUGGGUCUAUUGGUGUUGCUAUUGUUUAAGGUUGAACUUCAAGACUUUAAGUUUACGAUCCUUACUUUCUGCACUUUAUCAAAUUAUAUGAAGUUGGUUCUCACGAGUUCCGAGAGUUUUCUUUCCUGUUCUGCUUAGUUGAGUGUUUAUGAUUCUUUUAGGUAUAUUUGUUGGAUUUGUGAUUGUUGAAUUCACACAAAAUAUUCAAUUUAAAUGUGAUUUGAUUUUUCAAUAAUAAGAACAUAAAUGGGGAUACUUUGGCAUUCAGUGUUGCUGAUCUGAAAUAUGCAACUAGAAAGAGGGAUUGGUAGAUAUGAAUGUUUAGCAUUCAGUUCUGAUUUUUAUUUUGAUUUCUACAAUUGUGCAGGCCUUAGGAGAUUAUACAAGAAUGGUUAAUGAUUUUUCAAUCCUGCCAACCGAAUCAAGGGAGGGUCAAGUGGGAAUGUAUUGGUAUCAUGAGGACACACAAGCAUUUUUUGAUGAUGUGGACCACUACAAGAUGAUCAAGGCAAUGUGCAGGCUUUCUUGCAGCGUAUGUGACCAGAUGGAGGAGCAAUCAAAUGAUGGCUCAAAGAGAAGGCAAAAGUUUAGGAAUAUUGACCAGUUGAAGGGUCAUUUAUUCCAUCGGCAUAAAUUGUUCAUGUGCAGUUUGUGUUUGGAAGGAAGAAAAGUGAGUUCCAUAUCUGUGACAUCUUAUAUGAUAUUUACCCUCUGUCUAUCUGUGUAUACACACAAUUCAGAUGUCAUUCUUCUGUUGUCCUCCAAAUUUGUUCUUAUGAAUUCGUCUUUAGCUGUGCUUUUCUUUAAAGUAGGCGUUUAAUAUAGAAUGCAUUCUUUUUGAAAAAGAACACAAGUAACUCUAAAUAUUAAUAAAUUCCAUGUUUGAUUUGUGGAUUCAUUAGUCUCCUAGCAAAAAGGAAAUCUAUCCUUGAUCCAACAACCCUAAACCUUACUUUUCAUAUAUAAAUGCCUUCUGACCAUGUCAAAAUCUGUUUAAUCUGCAGCUAAGCCCACUUAAGUACCUUCAUUGCUUCAUGAAGCAAAAGUAAAUAAGGAUCAAAUAUCCUCAAAAGACAAAAGCAACAAUAAAAGAAAGUACUGCAAGAACAUCCAAACAGCCCAACCACUAGCCACAAAGUCAAUUAUCCCCUUGACCACUGAUAUCUCUGAACUCUCUUAUCAAGUCUGACCUUUUCCCUGUGAUCAGUUCAUUAGUGGCUCUUUUAUCUUCUGGUAGACUUUCUUUCUAGUUAAACAGAAGUAAUGCAUUUUUUGGAAUAUAAAAAGAACAAAUUGACAUAGUGUUGGUGUCUAUAAUGUUUUCCUGAGUGUCACAAAUGAAGUUUAUUUGUCUCUUAGGUGGUUGGUAUUGUUCAGCCAAAAUACUAUAGUGUUCUGCUUUAUUUGCUUUAUAUGCCCCACCAUUGGAUGAGAGCUGCAUGUUUGUUAUUCUAUUGCAUAAAUGAUUCUAAUGUGCGAUGAAAUGAGGGAUUGGUAGAAAGAGGAGAAUAGUGAGGGGAAUGUAGCAUACGAUGAGAUAGGUUCUAUGGCUGAAAUUAAUGCUGGCUCUCUGGAAAUCUGGUUUUGACAUCUUUUUCACGGUUAUAGAUGACUCAGCUGGAAUGAUUUGCUUUGGUGGUUUAAGUAGAAUCAAGUCUUGCAGAAGCCACCCUACAGAUCUGUCAGUAAGUUACAAGAUGAAAGGGAAAAUCACUGUGUGCUGUGGUGUGAAAAAAAACUUUUGGCAGAAUGUUCUUCAAAUGCACUUUCAGUUUCAAUGCUAUGGCAUUAUAUCACUAGAAUGGAACUGCAGAAUGCAGAGUUCGCUAAACACGAACAAUUCAUUGGGGCUGACUUUGGGUCUGAAUUGUUUUGAUUCUAAUAAUUUGGUGCAGACAUCCUGAUAUGAUAUGGAAGUUGGGAUGGGGCUCUGUUUGUUGCUGUAGGUUUUAAUAAUUUCUUCUUCCUUUUGUUUGUAUGUUGAUUUCACUAGCUUUGCAUGAAUUAGAUAUUUGUGCAUGAUUAAAGCCUAUUGACCUGUGGUUCUUUUUUCUUUUUUUGAUCAGUCAUCUCACUGGCUUUUCUUGGAAUGUAACAGGUAUUUAUUUGUGAACAAAAGCUCUACAAUAGAGCACAGUUGAAUCAGCAUAUAAACACAGGUGACUCUGAGGUGGAUGGAAAUGAGGCUGAAAGAGGUGGCUUCAUGGGGCAUCCGAUGUGUGACUUCUGUAGAAGCCCAUUUUAUGGAGAUAAUGAGCUGUACUCGCAUAUGUCCACGGAACAUUAUACCUGUCAUAUAUGCCAAAGGUAUUACAUGCCAUCUGUCAAUAAUAGAAUGAUAUACAAUGAUUUCAGUUCAAGGCAUGUUUACCUUACAUAGUUCUUUGGUGCUAUUCAAUGCAGGCAGAACCCUGGACAAUUUGAAUACUAUAAAAAUUAUGAUGACCUAGAGGUAAGUUACAAUGACCACUCCUUUUCUUUAAUGUUUCCAAGUUCAAAUGUAUAUGUAUAAAACUCUUUUGUUUGUUACAGAUCCAUUUCCGGAGAGACCAUUUCUUAUGUGAGGACGAAGCCUGCCUUGCAAAAAAGUUUGUCGUCUUUCAAUCUGAAGCAGAAAUGAAGGUGAUUUCUUAGAGCAUAGAUGGCCGCCUUUCAUUAUAUGCUUGAGCAUUUAUUUAUUUGUUUUUGUUGAUUUUCUUUGGAGGAUUAUUUUGAAUCUUGCACUGUUUGGGGAUAAGUGUUGUGGAAGCUAUGUUGCUUUAGAUUGACUUUUCCUGCAUCCUGAAUUUCUUCUAUUCAUUGGGUGUUUUUCUUGUUAUUCCAGAGGCAUAAUGCUAUAGAACAUGGAGGACGUAUGUCUCGCUCUAAACGUAAUGCUGCUCUUCAGGCAUGUAUUAUUUUUCUAAUUCUGAGAUCAUCUUUAGAGGAUCCAAUUUGUUAUAAAAGAUUUUUGUCCACAUUAUCCUGCCUCUUGAUUUGCAAUUCUAGAUACUCGCUCUACGUUGUUCAUUUCUCUUGCAUUCAGAUCUCAUAUGUUAAUUCUCUCUUUCUCUCUCCAACUUCAUGUUGGGGGAUGUUGUAAACAUAACAAUCUGGUGCUCCCUCUUCUCCCUUUUUAUUGCAGAUACCAACAAGUUUUCGCUAUCGAAGAAGUACUGAACAAGAUCAACGCCGUGGAAGAGGAAGGACAUUUAAUCGUGAUUCCUCUGCUGAUCAACUCUCCUUGGCCAUUCAAGCUAGUUUGGAGACAGCUAAUGCAAAUGACACAUAUCAUGAUCCACCCCCAUCAUCAUCAUCCAGCACUCAGGCAGUUUCUGAUCAUUAUGAUAGCGAUCCCAUAAUUCAGCCAUUUGAAUCGUUGGCUAUGACAGAUUCUGAAUCUUCUUCGAGAUAUCGUCAAGCCUUGGGUCAUAACCCAAUGAAUGUACCUCUUGUGGAGUCUUUCUUUCCUCCUCUCGCCACGGCACCCAGCAGCAGUCUACCAAAACCCAAACUUGACUCAGAAGGUUUGCCGAAAAAUACCAUGGCUGCACGUCUCCGCCGUCAAGGUAAGGCAAAUGUUCUCCAUUCAGGUCAGGGUUGGCCAGCCCCAAAUCGUGGAUCAGUCCCACUAUCAAGUAGUUCAACUCAAUCUAAGGUUGCAAAUAUUGCACCUGUGCCAUCAUCUAGUCUGGAUCAGGUUAAGUCAGCAACUGGUAGUGGAUCUGCUCCAAACAGCUAUGCUAGUUUUGCUCAGGCUCGACCCACAACAGUGCAUGGAUUUGCAUCAUCUGGUUCUUCAAGUAACUCAGGCAGCAUAAGUAGGAUCAGCCACUCUGCAUCAGCCCCAAAUCUUGCUGAUAGCAGAUCUUUUGAUCCUUCUAUGUCUGAUUUUCCUCCAGUUUCUGCGACACAAAAGCAAAAGUUGCCAACAAUUACCCAGCCCGUGCUGAAUGCAGAAGCUGUUCACACUGCAAACAAGUCUCUGGUGGAAAAGAUCCGUGCUGCUCUUGAAUUUGAUGAAGACAAAUACACCGCUUUUAAAGACAUAUCCGGGCAGUAUCGGCAAGGUUCAAUUGACACCGCAGUAUAUCUGGCUUAUGUUCAGCAGUUUGGUUUGUCACAUCUUGUUCUUGAAUUGGCUAGACUCUGUCCUGAUGCUCAGAAGCAGAAAGAACUUUUAGAGACCUAUAAUGCUAGUGUACGGAGCAGUGGUUUACAAGAAAAUGGUUGGGGGCAUAGCAAUGUCCAUUUUAAAGACAAAAAGAUCUCCAAGAAAGGUAAAGGAAAACCUGUAGUUGUGGAGGACAGUAAUGUGAAGGAUACAUUAGCAGAUAACAUCAUUAACACAGUUAGGAACCUUCGGUCCACCUUCAAGCCUUCAGAAGAAGAGGUGGAGGUGUUGUCAAAGGAUGGGUACCGUGGUGCAAAAGGCAAAUCAAAGGGAGUGAUUGAUGAGCAACAGUCAGAUCUGAGUUCUGCUAGAGAACCCUUACCAAAGCUGAGUGCCCAAAAUGAGGUGCCAUCAGCGGGUGGUGGAUCUAAUCAAAAUUUAGGGGCUGUGAGUGGAGGAAGUCAGCGACGAAAGAAAGCAUCAAAAUUCCUCAGAGCCCGUCUGGGUGAUGGUUCAGUGGGUGCACUUCUGAACUCCCAAGAUCCUGACCCAGAUCCAGAUCCAGUGGAGGAAACAUUAGAUGCAAACAUGAAUCCGGCUGAAGGCUUACCAGUUCAUGGUGUUUGGCGGAAUGGUGGUGGUCAGAGACUUUUUAGCAAUGGCCAGAAGAGAUUCUAAACUACAUUGGCAUGAACUUUUCUGAAGUGCUGUCAAUAGAUGGAUAAGUUUUGAUUUUUGUUCUCCAAUCAUGUGUUUCAAAGUUGUUAUCAUGAUGAGUUGGCUGAUUUAAACCAGUAUAGGCAAAUGAAUUCUGUGUAGCAGUGGAAGUUGAUUGGGAAUGAUGCUGCAUGAGUAGGUCAUUUGUGUUUUGAUGACUUUCAAGUGUUUGCAUAUAGAAAUGACAACUUGAGGUCCAGGCAUUGUUUGAUACUUCUUUUUCCUAGUUCAGACCACUGUAUUGCAGUUUGUUUGACCCCUUUAUCUUCCUUUUUGUUUUGUGAAAAAAAGAAUGGAAGUGUGAAUAUAGUUUUGGCGCAUUUGUGAAGUUCAAUGAUUCUCUAAUCAUGUAUUACCUAUGAACCCUCGUAUCUUUGUACUCCCUUUCAUUAUAUAUUUCCUAUGUUCUCUGACAUCUUUUCACGUGCUAAAUAGGUAUUGUUGAAAUGAAUGGACAACUUCAAUGGUUGUCUACCUCUCAUGAACCCUUCUUUUAAAUUUGCAUCCCAGGGACUUUGUGCUCUGCUUUUCAGUUGCAUCUUUGAAGGUGUUGGAGUGUAUGGUGGGGAGUUAAGAUUAUAGCAAGAAUAAACAUGUGGCCCACGAUUCUCUAUGGUGAUUGUUAUGAGAUUUUCAAAAUCUGGGACCCUAAGAAAUUCAGCAAUGCAUUCUACAUAAGUUGCUCUGCUAGUACUAGAAGUAACAGUGGUAGUAGCUUGAUCACAUCAAUGACAGGCGCUUUAGGUAUGCUCGAUUAUGCAACCAACGUGCCUCUGCUAGGAGAAAUGUCAUUCUCUUCAUCUGACAUCCAUUCAACUUCCAUUUUAGUGAAGGCAGUUUUUUUCCAUCUUCGUUAUGAAAGCAGAUUUUAUUUUAUUUUUAAAACAAUUGUAAGGUACUUUUAUUUGUUUUUUAUAGAGUGCUCUAAUUAACAAUUAAAAAGACUGGAAAAAUAAAUAUACAAUAAUUUUAUGGAGAAAACUGUAUUUUAUAUUUGAGUUUCCAAAUAUAAUUUUGUUUCCCAAAAAUAAUUGCAAACUGUUUUUAAAAAUUGUUUUUUUCAGAAUGGUUUUCAAUACAUUACCAAAAAUACCUAUAGUUUGGGUUGCCAAAAGAUGGGAAAUUCUCACAUUCAGUCUCUAUAGAAUAGAAGUGAUAAGAAGCUAAACCCCUUUGAUAAAUAACAUAGAAGUUCAGCAACAACAGUCACAAAUGUAACAUUCGCAUUUCCUUUACCUGGAAUACAAUGAUAUAACUUUAGGACUUUUCUCAUAUAUAAAGAUUGUAUCCAACAAUUAUUUCACACAGAGGAGAAGCAGAUUGAAGAUUCUACAACAAUGUACGGAGCUCAGUGUCCAUGUAUCUGGAUAUCAGCAUAUCCAAAAGUUUUCUCGCUGCUGUAAGACAUGUACAGGAACCCGUCCUCAUCCUUGAAGGAUUCAUAGACAGUGUCCAUCAAACUUGCUGCAAGUAGACAUGUGUAAAAAAUAUCAGCAGAUUAUCAGGGCAAAAACCUUCAUGCAAUGAAUCCACAGAAGAUAUGAACCAAGUGAUUUAAUGGCAUUUCUACCUGUUUGAGGUAAGGUAUUCUCCACAAAUACGAAAAGAGCUUUUCCAGGAGUCAGAUGAAGCCUGAUACUUAAGAUGUGAAUGAAUUGCCCAACAGACAUGUCCCGGGGAACCAGGAAUCUAAUAACAAAGGGAAAAUGGCAAAAUGUUAAGCCAAGUUACUUCAAUAUCCUUUAAAAUAGCAGAAAAAGGCAACCCUAAACUGUAGGAUAGGUAGUGGAUUCUUUUACCUCAGUGUGACAAUUACAGAGGACUGAACUUUGAAGAGAGAGAGAGAGAGAGAGAGGAGGAAAUCCCUGACUGCCCUUAAAAUAAAUACAAAACUAAUUUAAUAAAGUGGCAGGGAUGAGAAACUGAAGUUCAAUCAGCUUCUUGAUAUGCUUGGUUGUAAAUAGCUAACUGGGAGAAAAUGUGUACGGUGAUAUUCAAAGGGACUUCCUUUGAGCCCUGGGGAGGCUUGUACAAGAAGCUCCCAUUUAGGUAGUUGGUCUGUUGUUCAAUUGAACAAAAAGAAUGGAGGUCUUGGCAUCAGGAGUCUUCACACUCUAAACAAGGCUCUCCUUGGUAAAUGGAACCGGAUAUUUGCUUCAGAGAGAGGAUCCCUUUGAAACAAAGUCAGAGCUAGAAAAUUUGGGGCUAAUGAAGGCGAUGGUGUUUAAGGAUGUGAAAGACAUCUAUGGGUUGGGAUUGUGGAAGGUUAUUAGAAAUGAGUAAGAGAUCUUUGGAAGUAGAUCUCACUUCAUACUGGAUAACACAAGAAGAGUAAAAAUUCAGAAAGAUAAGUGGGGGGAAAGCUCUUUGGAAGGAUCCUUUUGGUGUUAUUCUCUAUAACUAUUGAUAAAGACACUUGAGUAGCAGAGAUGAGGGAGCAAGUUGGAGAAGGGGGUCGGCGAAAUCCCAAUUUCAGAAAUAGUUGCAUGAUUAGGAAGGAGUAGAGGCCUUUUUUAGAAGACUACAAUCAACCAGGAUUAGAAAGGAUGAGGAGAAUAGCUUGGGUUGGAAAGAAGCUAAGUGUGACAAACAAAUCCUACUGCUCUUCUCUACCAUGGGGAAGAAGUGAGCCUUUCCUUGCAAGCAUAGUAUAGAAGGAUUUUAACCAUUGACCAACUAAGCAGGGGAUGGAUUUUGCUAGACUAAUGUUACAUGUGUAAAGGAGAUGAGGAGUCAGUUGACCAUAUGCUCUUACACUACUCCAAAGUGAGAAUUUUGUGGCAGCUAGUGUUUUCUCCUUUUGGAGUGAUUUAGGUAAUGCACUCUUUGGUAAGAGGAAAUCUAUUGGGUUGGCAUGGUUCUUUUGUGGGAAGAAGCUGAAGAAAGAUUGGAGGACUGCUCCUUUGCGUAUUUUCUGGAUGUUAUGGAUGGAAAGAAACAGGAGGUAAUUCAAAGACGGUGAAUAGUCGAACCAAUCAAUCAAAUCUUCCUUUAUGUUUAUCUUUUUGAAUUGGGUUAAGAGUAUACAUAGAUGGCUAUUCCCUAACCAUGAUAGGAUUUACAGAUUGGUUGAGCUCAAGGUAGGUAGAGGGAGUUUGUAUUAUGUGUUCUCUCUGCCUUUCUACUUGUCUGAUGACGCUUCUUGUAUACAUUGUGUGCACUUAGGUGUGUCAUUUUUCAGGCACCUUUGAUUUAUUCUCUCUUUUACCUAUAAAAGGAAAAGAAAAGAAAAGAAAUGAGAAUGUGCACGGACUUGAAUUUUCUAAUGAAGCCAGAAUCAAUGAAGCCCAACUCAGCUUCUUCAUCUGCUUUGCCGAACAUGAGGGAGUCAUUGGAAAUAUGUCUAGGAUUUUUGUGUUCUAAAAGUACUUGAAGUUGUGAAGGACAAUCAACUUCAUCAUUUGCUUUACUUAACAAAUGACAAAUCUCAUGGAAAUACGCCUAGGAUUUUCUAUCCCAACAACAUUAGAAGCCAGACCAAUUGGAAAAGUCAGCAGCAAGAGCUCUAGACAACAUUAUACAUUUUAUGGGUCCCUAGCUACAAGUGAAAGAAAAUUUUCCUUUAGUUAAAUGCAACACUUAGCAAAGUAUGAAUUCCACAAUAUUCUCAUUAAGAAACACAAAGUUGGGAAGAUUAAAAAUAAAAUGUAAAAAAUGUAAAAAAAAUAAAAAAAAAUAAAAAAAAAUAAAUGUCAUUGAAAUGGCCUUCAGUAGAAAUGGACCCAUUGUCAUCCACACAAACAGCCCCAAAUAGAUAGUACAAGAAUAUCAGUUCUGUGCUGGUAAUUACAACUUAUCCUCAGCUUCCAUAGAUCAAGUUAUGAUUAAGAAAAAAAAAAAUCAAACCCCUCCAUUGAAAUAUAAACCAGUUGGACUUAGGUCUUUAUUUGCAAAAAGGAAAAACAACAUGAAAUGUAACUUAAGUAACCAAAUACUUCUAACACUGCAACUGAGUCAAAGGAUUACAGAAAAGACUAGUUCACAAUCAGCAGUUUAUUCCGAUCAAACACAAAAGACUAUAAUUCAUAUGAUAGAAUUAAACAAUCUGAACUCACUUUUUCUUUUCCAUCUCGGGGAGGUCGGUUUUUGAAUACCUUUCAGCAAUCACCUAAACAAAACAAAGUCAGAAAUUUGAAACAAAUAAAUCGUAUUAUCUGGGUUGCGGCUGUGAGCAAAAACAGAAUUGAAAAAACCAAAGAGUUGGGCAAUUUGGAUCGGGGGUUGGUGGGCUUACCGGGACUCGAUCUGGGUAUUUGGCGAUGAUGUCUCGGGAUUCUUCCAAUCGUUCCUCUGUCGAAGAAGAAAGAUAUGAUGUGGGGAGAUGAUCAAGGAAUUUCAAUACGGAAAAGAGCUAACCAAAGAAAAAACGUACCGUAUGAGAACUCGUUCUUGAAUGAUGACAUGCUCUUCUUCCCCAUUGAUGAUGCGUUGGUCGAGAUGUUAAGGAACAGAAAGUUUUUAAGGAGAAGACCAAACGCUAGCUCAGAAGUAAUUUUUCUGUUUGAUUCGGUUAAGGACACGCGGGGAUAGCUCAGUUGGGAGAGCGUCAGACUGAAGAUCUGAAGGUCGCGUGUUCGAUCCACGCUCACCGCAAUACUUUUUUGGGCCCAGGUCCAAGUUUAAUUUUUUUGGUUGGGCUACUCCUCGUCCAGCCCAUAAAGCCCUAAAUACAGCGACUCAACAAAACACAAACGUUUCAGCAAAGCAAAACACUGAAGUAGAACGGAGCAGCCAUGGAGAAGCAGAGUGAGUGGCGCCUCCACGGCGGCCACUACCUCGGAGAAAUCUCAGCCCUCUGUUUAAUCCACGCGCCACCUCUCCCUCACUUCUCUUCUCUCCCCUAUCUCCUUGCUGGUACCGCUUUCUGUUCAGUUUCUUCACCCUAUUUAAAUUUAUUCAAUUAAGAUAUUGAAUUCUAAGGUAUUUGAAUUUCGAUUUCUCAGGCACAGGAUCGCAAGUUUUACUCUACGAUUUGGAGUCCGUGAAAAUACUGAGGUCCUUUCAUGUGUUAGAAGGAAUUAGAGUGCAUGGAAUUGCUUGCCGCUUGGUUGAUUGUAAAGAAGGAUCGGUAUUGUCGGUUAAGAUUGCUGUUUUCGGGGAAAGGAGAGUAAAGUUGUUUAAUUUGCGGAUUGAGAUGGUUCCUGAAUCCCAAGAUGAGCCCCAAGUGUGUUUGGAGUUGACUCUGUUGCAUUCGUUGCCGAAAUUCAGUCACUGGGUUUUAGAUGUUUGCUUCUUCAAGGUAAAAAUGGGACGUAUUUAUUGCUCCAUUGGGUGUUUUUCUUGUAAGUUAGUCUGAGAAUGCAAUUGUUGAUGUGUAGGAGGACAUUGCGACUUCUUCACAUUGUCUUGUGGUGGGAUGUAGCGAUAAUUCGGUCCAUCUCUGGGAUAUGUUAACGUCCAGUUCGAUUCUUGAAGUUAGGAAUCCAGGUUUGUAUUAUGAGAGUAUAAGUUUUGAACUAUCCGGUUAUCAUUGGUCGUCGUUUGCUAGGGGAUGGUCUGUUUGCAAUUUCUAAAAUUUGAUGCACUAAAUUUCAGGUUCUCAAUACAUUAUAUUUGCACUCCAAUCACUAGAUCGUAAAACGACCUAGUAGUUGGGAUAAGAACUUUUAUCUGUUGUGUUGUACUAGAACUUGUAUUGUGGCAAUUUUCAUGGUUUGAUGGUUUGAUUCUUAUUCAACUGCAGAGAGGUGCCUUCUUUAUUCCAUGCGGUUAUGGGGUGAUGAACUUCAAAACCUCCUUGUUGCAUCUGGUACUAUCUAUAAUGAGGUGGCAAAUCUUUCCUUAUAAUGAAUUUUGAUCCAACGAAUGGUCUGUGUAGGGUUUUUAGUGAUUACAAUGACCAUUAUGUUAGGUGGUAUUUUUUUUUUUUUUUAAAACUUAAUGUUGAAUGCAAUUUGCUUUUAGACUUUAGAUGAUUUAUUUUUAACUUUUUUUUUUUCACUUAUAACAUAUUUUUAAAUUUAUUUUAUUGAAUAGAAAAAGAUAAAAUAUUUUUGUUGAAUGCUAAAAAUAACAUUUUUAAACAACUAAAACACAUUCUCAAUAUGACAUUCACCCUUUUAAUACUUGAUACUUUACAACAAUAAAGUAAUAAAAUAACAAAUGACUUAAUACUUAAUACUAUUAAGUUGUAUUUAGAGUUAAAUUGAAUUAAGUUCUAUUUAGAUUUAAGUAAAAAAAAAAAAAAACACUACCUUAACAUUUUAUAAACUUUGAGGACCUUGAUUUCAUCAUUUUAAUUGUUUUUUUUUUCUUUUCUAUUUUAAAAUUGGAUCACCAUUGAAGUUAAUCUCAGUGAUAAUGAUUAAUGUUUGGACCCCAUAUUCCAUGAUUGUUCUUGGAAUAUCUGCAUAGCAGUUUUGGGUUGAUGCUAUGUGCAUUCCGAUUUUUCAGUUGAAGAGGCUGAUGCCACCAUCCCCUUAUUCCAAAUUAGCUUUCUACAAUCUUCUCAAAUUCGGAAGCUAUCGAAAUGUUAAAUUUACAUGGUUUCUUAAGGAUAAAUUGGUUUUGAACAGAUUAUUGUUUGGAAAGCAGUUCCUCAGAACUGCACUCCAAGUUUGGGAAGUUCAGUGAAAGACCACAUUAAUUCGAGUAGUUCUUUCUGCAACGGCUUCAAUCAUUAUAGUCAGCAAUAUCAAGCUCUUAAUAUAUGUAGACUUGCUGGACAUGAAGGUUCAAUUUUUCGCCUAGCAUGGUCCUCCAAUGGAUCCAAACUGGUGUCUGUCUCUGAUGAUCGGAGGUGAAUUAGUUUCUCAACCAGUUUCUUCCCUUUAUAUUACUGAUUCCUUGGAGGUAUGAUUCUAUGCAAUGAGUUGGUUUUAAUUGGUACAGUGCUCGUAUCUGGCCAAUUCAUGCAGAAAGGGAAGUUUCUGAUAACUCAGGAGAGAUUGUUGACACAGGCUCUGCUGGUCCUGUGCUAUUUGGUCACAAUGCUAGGAUUUGGGACUGCUGUAUUUUAGAUUCUGUAAGCUCAUAAAUUUUUUGUCUUUUACAGUUAUUCUCUAUUUUCUUAUAUUAAAUUGGAAAGUUACUUUAACAAGCAAAGAACAUGGAAUAUUGUUGUCUGUCCAGAAUACAGAUAAUAUUUUUCUUUAAAUGUGUUCAUGAUCCUUCCCACCCAAAAAUAAGCUGUUUUCAUGCUUGAGGAAAAAUCUCAACUGCAAGGAUUUCAUUUUAUUAUAUGCUCUUCAUAUUUUUUGUUAUCUUUUCAGGAUUUUGUGAUAGAUUUAUUUUUACAUUCAUGCUGAUUGCUGAGGUUGGUUAGCAUGUGUCUGUAGUGCUUCUUCAUGCCUAAAAGCCUGACUUUGGUCUGGAUUUUUCUCACAUAAAAAGGGAAGGGGAAAAAAAACGAAAGGAAAAACCUGCUUUCACUGGUGGAUCUAGUGAUCACAAGCAAAUAGCAUGUCUGCAAAUGAAAUCAAAUAAUCAAGAAAAUGCAUACCCCUUUCCUCUGUUAUUAAUUGUUAACUGGUAGAAUUUUUAUUUCCUUUUUAGUCUGAGGUUCCAUUAAUUAAAAACUCUUUGCUACCAUUUGAGAAAGUGUUUUCUCAUUGAAAAAGUCAAAUUUUGACAUUCAGUUGUUAGUGAGCAACAUUUGGUUUAAGCUAUAGGUGCAAUAUUGGUUUUGUACUGAGUCGUUGCUGCAUAACUAACAACAAGGCCUCCUGUCAUCCAUAACUAUUUAUUGUAUGUGGUGGCGCUACCAUGUUAGAUGGCUUUGGUCGAUUCUGGUAAUGCUUGUCUUGUAUUUUGGACUGGAUGUCAUAAUAUUAAAAAUAGGUAAUUAGGCCUUCUCUUUUGGUCUGGUAUUUGUUCUCUUCACCAUUUUACUUUACUACCUCAUAGUUUGGGGGGAGAGGUACAGAUCCAUAUGGCAUUUUUAUUAUUUCAUCAUUUCCUCCAAUUGCCAAAAUAUGAUCUCUGAACUGUUAUAUGAGGUUGAUGUUCCAUGUUUGCUCUUUCAAAAUGGAGCUACUGUUGCUUUUUGAAACGACUGUGUUUGUUCUCAGUUAAUUGUAACUGCUGGCGAGGAUUGUACAUGUCGUGUGUGGGGAACAGAUGGUAACCAGCUUAAGAUGAUCAAAGAGCACAUGUAAGUUGCAAAUUCAGUUUGUUAAGAAUUGCAGGUUAAUUUCUUGAGUGAUGUUCCAUAAUUUCAACACCAUCUAUCAAACAUAUAUGUAAAUUGAAUACAUUCAACCUGAUUCUGGUUAUUAUGGAUUAAGAGCUAUGUAUCCCAGAUACUAUUCUGGACACCAUACCCUUGUGUUCUAGGACUCUUUUGGACAUGCUGUAGCAACCUUGAUUAUAUUUCUGCUAAAAUAUUAUGUUUUGAGAUUCAGAGUCAUUUACAAAUAUAUUUUUUUGAUAACCAAUGAUUCAAUAUAUUAAUAGUGCCUAACAAAGAGGCACACAAAAGCAUACACGGGGUAUACAAAGGCGCCGAUAGGCCACACAAAGCGAAGAGAUACACAAAAACAACUCCCUCACACUACUUAGAGCCCAACCGAUCAAUAAAGUUUAUCAUGGACAAUGAGCAAUCCCUUAUGUGCACUCUAACCCACUUGUAAAUAUAUACAUGCAAUAAUAUUUAGGCCAAUUACCUAACCGGUGUUUUUUGUGUGGGUGCGAAGAGGAAACGAUCAAUCAUAUCUUAAUACAUUGUACAGUAGAAAAAGGGUUGUGGAACAUCAUUCUUGCGUUGUGUGGUGUACAGUGGGUCUUUCCAAAUUCUGUAAAGGAGGUUCUUAGUAGUUGGAAAGGCUCUUUUGUGGGGAGAAAAAGGAAUAAAGUGUGGAAAUCCAUUCCGUUAUUCAUUUUUUGGACUAUGUGGAAGGAGAGGAAUAGGCUAGCUUUUAAGGGGAGAGUGUUGGCUUUUCAAAAGUUAAAAACUUCAUUUGUAUACAAUAUUUGGGGUUGGGCUAAAGUGUACAUUGAUAUGGAGUCGAAUUCCCUUAUAGGUUUCUUGGAGUCGUUAGCCUCCAAAUAGGGUUUGGGUUGUUUUGUUUUUUGUUUGAGGGGGUGGUAGCCUCGUAUACUUCCUGUAUGCUUUGAGGUUUCUUUGCCUAUUUAUAUAUAUUGCUUGCUUAUCAAAAAAACAAAUAUUUAGGCCAAUUUUCUUGAAGAAGUUUUGAAUCUGAAUUAUCCCUCCAAAAUGCUUGUUUUGCAUUUCCUCUUACUAGUAUCUUAUCCAGAGUAUUCUUCAUACUUCCUUGGCUGUAUUAAUCCUAAUUUCUUGUACAGCAUUUUUCACCGCAUUUAUGCAUUUUGAAAUACCUUGUCAUUAGUGCUGAAAUGGGUAAUACUGGUCUUAGUGUCUUGUUAGAUUAAAUGCUGGUAUCAAGUGAAACUAGUCUAUGUCUAAGUAGUAUCUUGGUACUCAUAAUGAUUCAAUACUCAAAUUACAUCUUUUUCUUAUCAUGCAGAGGAAGGGGUGUAUGGCGAUGUUUGUAUGAUCCAAAGUUUUCACUUCUUGUUACUGCUGGGUUUGACUCUGCUAUCAAAGUGCAUCAGCUACAAGCUUCUUUGCCUAAGGCCCCACAGGAACAGGUUGCGGAGGUAAAAGAGUUGAUUGACAGAACGGAGAUAUUCACUGUUUGUAUCCCAAAUUCAUCAGAACAUACUGGACUUAUGGACAGGUUAAGGUCUCCCAAAAACAAUAUAACUAUCAUGUAUACAUAUGGGGUAGACACACUUUCACCUGUUUGUUCAUCCCCUUGCUGAGAAAAGACAUGCUUAGAUGAGCCUGGAUUUUUUUUUUCUUUCUUUUUUUCGAAAUUAAGAAAAAUAGUGGACGGCUCAUGAAAAUGUUAAUAGAUUGAUGAAGAUCGAGCUGCAUAAUUUAUUGGGACUUGGGAUGUCACAAUUAUUGGACCAAACAAAUUGUAGCUUAUGAAUCCCCUCUCAACUUACAUGUGUUAGUUUAACCUUAUUUCUAAAUGUUGUUUUGUGUCUCUGAUUUAAUUGCUGUUGUUCUACUUGAUUUUUUUUAUCAACUGAUGCAUUGCCUUUUUUUUUUUUUCCCUGUUUGUUGCAGCAAAAGUGAAUAUGUGCGUUCCCUGCGUUUCACAUGUGAAAAUAGUCUCUAUGUUUCCACAAACCGUGGUUAUCUUUACCAUGCUAAAUUAUUUGAUACAGGAGAUGUAAAAUGGACUGAACUUAUCCGUGUCAGUGAAGAGGUGCCAAUUGUUUGUAUGGACUUACUGUCUAGAAAUGGACCCAAGCUUUCCAGUGGUGUUGAGGAUUGGAUUGCUGUUGGAGAUGGUAAAGGAAACAUGACAGUCACUGGAAUUGUUAGUGAUCUUUGCCCUCCUAAAGUAGGCCUCACUUAUACUUGGUCAGCUGGAAUAGAGAGGCAGCUCUUAGGAACAUUUUGGUGCAAGUCCUUGGGAUAUAGGUAGGGACAAUUCUUCACCUUUUGAUAUAAUGUUUUUAUUAUGUCCCAUGUAUUCCAAAUCUGGCCUGAAUCGCUUAAAUGAGUACUCGUUGAGUAAUGGAAUCUACAACCUAUCAUUCUAGCUCAGUACCCAUCUGCUAUUUUAGGCUCAAUUUUAAACUGAAGGUUAUGGAUCUUUAACCAUAUGAACUUCUUUGUGUCUGCUUUUUGCUGUCACAAAAGAUUGUUGAAAAGUCAAGUAUUAUGAUCAGGGACAAAAAUGUCGUGAUAUUACCGAUAUAUCGUGUAUCGAAAGGUUUUGACACGAUAAAUCAUGAUGAUAUAUCGGAGAGGAGAAAUUUCGAUAAAUAUUACCAAAAAAUCGCCAAUAUAUCGGCGAUAUAUUGGUUGGAGGCGAUAAAUCGUUGAUUAUACAUAUACAGCAAAAAAUCGCCUAUAUUUCUCCAAUCUAUCGCCGAUUUUUCAGCGAUAUUUCUGCAAAAAAAAAAAAAAUGCCCUCCCUCUACCUAGAUUGCCUACCCCUUUGCCCAAGCUUCCCCUUCCCUAGUCAAAUCCCCAGUCUCCUGCUCGGGCUCCAACCCCACUUUGCCCAUAUCCUCCUACAGCCUAUGUCCAUUAGGGCAAUUAUGCCCUUUGUUAAUUUGAACCAAAUGUGUGUAUAUAUAUAUAUAUAUUAAAAGUCAGCACAAAACAAUAUUUUUGAAAACAAAGUAAUUAUAAUUAUUUUAUAAUUAUUACAAAAAAAUAUAAAAAUUAUCAUCAUAAUUUUUUUCAUAGUAUUUUUUAAUAUCAUUAAUAUAUUAAUUAAAUAUUAAAAAAUUAUACAUGUAUUAUCGUUUAUUUUAUAUCAUUUAAUAUAAUUAAAUUAAAUGGAUCAUAAAUUUAAUAUUAAAUAUAUUUUAAAAUUAGAUAUAUUAUAAUUAAAUAUUAUAAUAUUAUUAUGAAAUAAUAUUUAAUAUAAUUUAAUAAUAAAUGUGCACUUAUAAAAUACAUAUUUUUUAUUGAUGCAUAUAAUAUUAUUAUCAAAUAUAAUAAAUCAUAUUAUACAUAUAUUAAAUUAUUUAAUAAAGUAACUUAAAAAUAUUUGUUAUACUUCUAAUCAUAUUUCUAUGAGGUUUUUUUUUAUAUUUCCAUGAAUUUUGAUCAAUUUUAGGUUUAUCGAUAUUUUUUUUUUUCAAAAUAUCUGCCGAUAUAUUUUCGAUAUAUCCAUAAAAUUGAAGUACCGAUAUAUAUGUGAUUAUUGAUAUUUUCAUCUUUGAUUAUGAUCAUCCAAUUGGUCUUUACUUAUAAAAAAAAUGAUCAUCCAACUACUCCACAUGACCAUGGAGAUCAUACUGAGGAACUCAAUUGGUGGGUAUGCUUACCACUCUCCAAUGUUGUCAGCUGGGAGAUAUCAAGGUCUUCUUGCUUUAUUUUUUUGAUAGGCAAAGGCACAGAAAAAGUAUAUUAAUAAAAACCAGGUGCCCAACGGCUAACCCAAUGCAUACAGGAAGUAUACAACAGGCGCAAGGUCUUCUUGCUUUAUUGUUAACAUGUACUCAUCAAUCUCUGGUGUUUGAAUCAUGUAGGUACAUUUUCACUGCUGAUCCAAGAGGAAAGUUGAAGUUAUGGAGGUUAUGUAAUCCUUCACAAUCAGCUUCUCAAAAUUCUGCAAUCAGUAACAAUGUGUCUCUAAUAGCAGAGUUCAUAUCCAGUUUUAAUAUACGGAUAAUGUGUUUGGAUGCCUCAUCUGAGGAAGAGGUAUUUUCUUUUUAUCAUGUCUCUAACUUAAUUAGAGUGAGGAUCUUUCUCUUUAUGGUAUAAGACAAGGUUUUUGGAUUGUAUAUCCUUACACAAGUAACAUCUAUUAGGAAUCCUCCAACCUUUCCUUUUUAGCUGAUCUAGAGUCAAAAUCCUAGCUCAAGUUGUUUCCCAAGUAAAAAAGCUAAUACUUAAUGGUAUCCAAGAAUUCCAUAUUGUGCCAUAAAGGAACAACUCCACUCUCCUAUUUGCUAAAGAGGAACAGAAGAACUUAAUUGAAAAAGUACCAUUCUUUGUAGGCAACCAUACCAUGACAUCAUCGGUCUCCAAAGAAAUGGAGUGUGCAAACAACCUCCCAAAAAGGUUGUACCUUCUUUAGUUCCCAAUCAUGCAAAUGCCUUGUAAACCUAGGACUCUGGCUACCAUCAACCCAAAGGUCACUCACCUAAACAUCUAUUGAGGUAGCUAUAGAAUAGAACUCUGGAAACGAAUCCCUCAAGGACACGUCCCCACCCCACUUGUCUUUCCAAACCUUGUUCCCAGACCCAACCUUGAAACCUGUAUCGCCUUCCACACCCCCAUACCAUGCCCUUCUCUCAUUUCUUGAGUGCAUCAUCCCCCCCCCCGACCCAUACUUGGGAUUCCUUUUCACUUACAAAUCUCCAAGACCAUUUACCCAAAAGAGUCUCAUUUAAAAUGGAUAAAUUUCUGAUGCCCAAGCCCCCUUUCUGUUUCUCCAAGCAAACAAUAGCCCAGUUCACCAAAUAUGGCUUUUGUUCCAAACCCCCCCCCCCCCCCCUCCCCACAAAAAGUCUAUUUUUCCAAUCUAACAACUACCUUCUUUAGGAUGACAAAUAGAGACAUGAAGUAAAUCGACAAACUACUAAAGUACUCUUCAUCAGAGUAAGCCUUCCACCCUUUGAUAGAUAUUGUCUCUUCCAUAAAGCUAGCCUUUCCAAAAUCUUUCUUCUAUCCCUUCCUAAACUUCGGAGAACUUAUAAGGGGCUCCCAACGGAAGCCUUAAAUAGGAGGUCGGGAGGGCACUGACCUUGCAGCCUAAAACCCCAACAAGAUCCUUUAAAUUUGAGACCUCCCCAACAGGGAUAAGCUCACUUUUCUCCAAGUUGAUCUUUAGCCCUAACAAAACCUCAAACCACAUAAAAACCCAACUCAGAUACUCAAGGUUCUCCUUACUAGCAUCACAAAAAAUGAGAGUAUUGUCCACAAAUAACAAAUGGGAAACCUCCACCCCUUCUCCAUCUCUUCCCCUUACUAUAAAGCCAUAAAAAAAAAACCCUCCUUCCUUUGCCCUUACAAGAAUGCUAGAGCGAGUAUCCAUUGCCAAGAUAAACAAAUAAGGGAACAAAGGUUCUUUUCCCAUUUAUUUCAGUCAAUAAAGAUCUGUGAGCUUGAAUAAAAGAAAAAGGAAAACAAAUAUUUAGAGGAUCACUGAGAGAUAAAGGUCAUUUUCUUUUAAUUUUAUGAGAUUAUGUUUGAUUAAUAAUAAGCAUACUACUGAUUAGAAAUUAGGAAAUCUUGAUCUUGUGAGGUCCAGAAGUGAUUUAAUGAAUUUUCCAGGCUUACUGUUUUAUUAAAUGGAACCUGUAUAUCGGUGUUAUAUCUUACUGACUGUUUUAUAAACCUUGUAGGCUUUUUUAUUUUAUUUUAUUUAUUUAUUCAUUUACUAAUUAUUAUUAUUUUACUUGCUAAAUUGUUAUUGUUAUUGUUUUGCAGGUGCUGAUAUGUGGAGAUCUACGUGGUAAUUUGAUUUUAUACCCUUUAUUGAGGAGUAUAUUGGUGGGUUCAUCUUUUGGAUCAGAAGUGAAGAUUACUCCAUUGACUUAUUUCAAAGGAGCUCAUGGGAUAUCAAGCGUGUCUGGCAUUUCGAUAGCAGGAUUUGUUUCCAAUCAAAUUGAAAUACAAUCUGUAUGUUCUGACUUCAAGCUUUUCUAUUGGCAAAGAAUAUUGUUGCAUGCCUUGCUUUCAAAUAUUCUCUGACAAUGAUUUUUUUUUUUUUUUGCAUGUCUGUAUCAGAGAUAGAGACAGGGCAUUUGAUAUUUAUUUUGUUUCUUGUCAGACUGGUGGAGAUGGGUGCAUAUGCUAUUUGGAAUAUCGCAGAGAUCGACAGAAUUUGCAGUUUAUAGGGAUGAAACGGGUGAAAGAAUUGAGUUUGGUCCAGUCCGUCUCUUCUGGUGCUGACUCUGUUGAUGAUUUGACAAGCAGCAAGUAUGCAAUUGGUUUUGCAUCAACAGAUUUCAUAAUAUGGAACUUAAUAACUGAGACAAAGGUACUUCUCUCACUCUCUCACUUCCUUCCAGGCUGAUUCCUAUGUUGCAAGGCCUCUUCUAGUUGAUACCUAAGAGUAACAUUGAAGCAGGUUGUGCAAGUCCCAUGUGGUGGAUGGCGGCGUCCCCAUUCUUAUUAUCUUGGUGAUGUACCAGAGAUGAGAAACUGCUUUGCAUAUGUUAAGGUCUAUUUUUCUACUCUUUUCACUUCCUAAUUUUUUAUUCUUCGAGGAAUGUGGUAAUCAAAGCACAAAUACAUGAGGAUGAUAAUCAGCUUUGUUUAACAUGAGAUGCACAUGCAGAGUUUGGGACUGUCAUCCAGUUAGGGAAUCAGUGCAAGUAGUUGAGCUGACAAAGUGGUCUUGUAAACUUCAUGUCUUAUAGUUGGACUGUUGAUGAAUAAGUUGUGAAUUAUCAUAUGCUUAUUCUUAGUAUCAUGGAGUGAGGUUGAAUAUCUGCCAAGUGGCAUAUGCUUUGGAGUUUACCCAAAUGAGGUUGAGCAAGUUAUAGUUAUAUUUUUAUUCAAGAUAGCAUGCUAUUAAACUAUUCAGAAGCUUUACUACUAUCUGUUAUUGUGUUUCUUUUUCUUUUCUCCCAUUAGUUAUGUUUUAUUUUAUUUUUAUUUUUAUUUUUAUUUAUUUUGAAGCAAUCCCUUCUAAAUUUGAAAAGUGUAUAUUAUUGUUUUAGGUGUAUCAAAGACUAAAUGGAUGAACGUUGAUCCAUAAACUUGUAAUGCCUCGAGUGGCUUUAUGUUCAAAACUACUGAUGUCCAUCAAAAUAGAUGAUUGAAACACUCUCAACAGAGAGCUGUUUCGAGUUGCUAAGCCAAAUUGUUGUACUUUUUAUAUGAUAAAGGGACUGCUUCAUUAUGUUGUGAUGUUCAAUGCAUCUUAGUUUACUGAGAUUACAAUUUUCAAUUUUUCAGGAUGAAAUAAUUUAUAUUCAUAGAUUCUGGAUUCCAGAGAGUGAAAGGAAAAUAUUUCCUCAGAAUCUGCAUAUUCAAUUUCAUGGGAGAGAGAUGCAUUCCUUAUGUUUUGUGUCUAGGGAUUCACAAGUUGGGUUAAAUGGAAAGCAUGACCUCUCUUCUAGAUCUAGCUGGAUUGCUACUGGGUGUGAAGAUGGCACUGUGAGGUUGACAAGGUAUAAUUCAUUAUCAUUUAGAAAACUGACCUGAAAAUGAACAGAAUUUUUAUAACUUUAAUUAAUUGUUACAGUAUUAUUGGAUUUGUUUCUGCUUGUAUGUUUUGGGGUAGUGGGCAAGAGCACAAAGUUAUCUGCACACAUUUAUAGUUAAGAGUAUUAAUGAUCUGUCAGAUAUGCUGAUGGGUAUCCCAGCCUCCAUACCUCAUAAGCUACCCUCACCCUCCCCUCUCCCACCUCCGUUUCCUUAUUAUCAUAUAUUUUUGCAACUGAUAUGAUGGUUGGAUCUGUGAACUAAUAGAGUGAUGGACAAAUUAGGUAUUCUCCCGGUGUUGAGAAUUGGUUUUCAUCACAAUUGCUUGGAGAGCAUGUUGGUGGAUCAGCUGUGAGGUCAAUAUGCCCUGUAUCAAAGAUACACACAAUUCCAGCAGAUGCGACAAACAUGCCAAAUGGGACACAGAGACAACAUGCUACCUGGGACGGCAGAGAGAAUCCAUUCUUGCUAAUUUCUGUUGGUGCAAAACGGGUCAUAACUUCUUGGGUACUAAGAACUAGUACGAUAGACAACAAGGGAGAAGCGUCAGAUGAUGGAGUGCAGGAUAAAACUGGGAAGGGCUUUCCAUCAAUGUCAUUCCAGUGGCUUUCCACUGACAUGCCAACCAAGUAUUCUGGUAUUCGUAAGAAAACAGAAGACUUGGAGAACAUAGUUGGAAUUAAAAAAGCUUCGAGUGUGAAUAUUGAUGCAGAGUCUAGAUCACUCUUCCCAGAAAGAAAAGAGAUGCAAUUGAGAACUUGCAUUGGGGACAUGUAUGAAAAUGACUGGAGAUACCUUGCUGUUACUGCUUUUCUUGUUAAAGAUCCUGUUUCCAGGUGAUAUGAGAUAAUGAUGAUUUAUUGUUCUAGUUUGGUUUUCAAUUCAAAUUUUUCUUUUCCAUAUUAAUUUACCUUUUCCCUUUUACUUUGCCUCUGUUGCAGAAUUACUGUCUGUUUUAUUGUUGUUGGUUGUUCUGACGCCACACUUUCUCUGCGGGCUCUCAUUUUACCCAGUCGACUUUGGUAUUAUAUCAUGGCACCUUUCAUUCAGUUUAUUUAAUGGUUUUGUUGUAAAAUCCAUAGUGCGUUCUAAUAAUUCCACAUUCCCACUCUUUAUUGGCCACCUGGUGUCAUCUUUCUUUUUUUCUUUUUCUUCUUUGUUUUUCCAUUUUGUAAAUGUUUAUUUACUUCAUUGUAGGUUUGAUGUUGCUUUAUUGGUUCCCCAGUCAUCCCCAGUUUUGGCAUUGCAACAUGCUAUCAUCCCUUUAUUUCAGCCUUCUGAAGGUCAGUGCAUUGUCUGGACUAUUAAAUCUUAAUUUAGCAGAAAUAUUGUGGAAAUCUUAUGUCAAGCUUUCUGACCAUAAAUAUAGUUCAAAUAUGAUGCCCCCACCCAGCCGAACCCAAACCAAACCCCCACCACCCCAAUAACAAUAAUAACAAUAACUAAACAAUAAUAAGAAGAAGAAUAACAACAAACCAAUAAUAACAACAAAAACAAGAACAAUAAUAGUAAUACUUAAAUGCCAGCUCCAUAUUAGGGAACAGGUUGUUAGGUAACAUCAAGUCAAUAAAAGAGGUAGAAGAUGGGGAGGUCUUUACUCUAUUCCUAGCGGAAUAGCGAACUUCGGGGCUCUAGAAGAGGUUAAGGCCUUACUCUAUUCCUAGCAGAAUAGUGGCCUUAAUUUCUUUUUGGUAUAAUAUUAAUAAUAAGUAAAUAAAUAAAUAGAAUUUAUUGAAACAACAAUUUGGCCCAGUUAACUAACAUUAUUCAAUCGGUGUGAUUGAGAGAAUAACAAUUAAAUUAUUAGCCAAAAUAAUGUCUUCUCCUAAUUAGUUGUAGGCACUAUUUUGUGUUCCACACCACCCCCCUUCCUCUCCUCUCCCCCUACCCCAAUAAAAAUAGAUUAUAUCUUUAAUAAAAACAACUAGUCUCUAUGAACUUUGUUUGCAACAUUUUCAGCAUAGCUGUGAUAUCCCACAUCAAAUAGGGAAAAAAGUUCAUAACAUUAUAUAUGUAUGAACUCUUUUUAACCUUGUAAACGUAUUCUAAAGUCGUGAGGGCCCCUUUGAACCUAAAACAAACAAUAUUUACACAACUGGGAGUGGAUCGUUAUAAAUAGUAUCAAAGUCAAGUUUCAAUCCUGGGUAGAGGAAAAAGUUUUUAAUGCUAUAUAUAUGUAUGAACUCCUCUUAAUCUUGUAGACACAUUUUAAAGUUGUGAGGGUCCCUUUAGGCUUAACGCAGACAAUAUCUAGACAGUUGGAAGUUGGUUGUUACAAUAUUCCUCACAGUUUUAGUGUAUUUAGUGUUCACAAUUAUGAAAAGUGAAUUUUUCGCCUCCUUAUGAGGUGUGCCUCAGUGUUCACAAACUGUGCCUAAGCAUUGAAUUUUUAAUCAGUGUUCUCAUCAAGGGUAUGACUCAUGAACUGAGGCACAUAAAGUUACACCCCAAUGCCAUGACCCUUUCCACUAUAGUUGCAUUGCUAAAAUUCACAACAGAAAAUGCAUUUGGCAUGUGGAAUCAAAUGCAUGUUUUUAAAAUUACUUAUUUUAUAAUGUCCUAAUUUUGGCAUCCUAAUUCCUUAUAUUUUCUUCCCUGGAGUUGUUAAUUCCUGUUUAAUGGCUUGAUUAACAGAGAAGAUUCAGAUUGGAAAUGCAUAUAUUGCAAUCAGUGGAUCUACUGAUGGCAGUAUUGCCUUUUGGGAUCUGACUGAAAGUGUUGAAAACUUCAUGCUGCGGGCAUCAACUCUCCAUACAGAAAACUCUAUUGAUUGUCAGAAACGACCACGCACUGGAAGAGGAAGCCAAGGUGGACGAUGGUGGAGAUCAUUAGGCACCACUCCUAAGAAAAAACCCAGCGGCGGCUCAGUUUCCAUGAGAGUUGAAGAAGGAACUGGUGUUCUAAAUUAUGUUGCAUGUGGAACCUCUUCAAAACUUAAUGAUCCUGAAAACACUCCAACUGCUUGUUCUCAAGCGAUGUUCACUGCUUCCCUUGAGUCAGAAGUGAAUACAGAUGAUUCCUCAUCAGAAAUAUGUGAAAUAUCACCCUUACAUGUUUUGAGUAGCAUUCACCAAUCCGGGGUCAACUGUCUCCACAUUUCAGAUAUGAAUCAUUGUCAAAGUUUUAACAAUGGUUUUCUGUAUUAUCUUUUAAGUGGGGGCGAUGAUCAAGCACUUCACUGUCUUGGAUUUGAUUUGACACUGCUACCAACAAGCUCAGAGUCUCAGAUUAAGGCAGUAAAUGUAGAAAAUCCAACAACCAAAUUUGAAGAUAUAAAGAACUUAAAUCAUUGUAAACAGAACAAGAAUUACAGAAUCAGAUUUUUAUACCAUGACAGGGUAGCCUCAGCUCACAAUUCUGCUGUGAAAGGUAAAUUUUUUAAACUUGGUUCUUUAAUAUUUUUGCUGAAUUCCUUUGUUGUUGGACAAGCCCAAGUUGAGGUUGUGUCCUCAUUGUGUUUGAAUUCUUGCUCCCUUGAUGUCCUCAUCAUGUUCAACAAUUGUAAAUGAUCUAUGUUUCCAUCCCCCUUCUUAGUUUCUGAUGAUUGCCUAAACAUCACACAAAGGAUUGCUUCAUAUUAUGAAGCCUAGUAUAUUUAUAGGAACUAAAAAAACAAGGAAAUUUCCCUCUUUUUUUUCUUUUUUUUUUUUAAUAUAUUCAUUAGUUAGCUGAUAAUUUCCUUUUUCGAGAUGAUUUUCCAUAAAAGCAUCUGUGAAUGAUGAUAUUAAUUUCAAUUUUCAUGUACUGAAGGUAUUUGGACAGAUGGGACGUGGGUGUUUUCUACUGGUCUUGAUCAGCGUGUCAGAUGCUGGUAUCUUGGUGAGCAUGGUAAAUUAAUUGAACAAGCUCAUUUAGUAAUUAGUGUGCCUGAGCCAGAGGCAUUGGACGCUAGAGCCUGUGGCAGGUGAGUGAAGCAUCUGAUGUUAUUCUGACCUACUCCAUACAGCACUUCCUUAUGGAAGAAUAACUUCGCAUUGAAAAGUAUAAUUCUCUAAAUUGUUAUCUUUAUUUUUAUGGUGCUAUUUAUGUCUUUUCCAGGAACCAUUAUCAGAUUGCAGUAGCUGGAAGAGGGAUGCAAAUGGUUGAGUUCUCUGUAUCCCCUGACAUGGAUGGCAGAGGCGCAGAUGGCUUCUGCUGAUUUUGUGUUUCAAUCCAUAAGCUUUCGAGGAUGGGUAUGUGGUAUGUUAUUGUGCAUAUUGUUUUCUAGAUGUUAUUCAUGAAUGAAUUAGGGGUUCCUGCUGGGUAAAUCAUGAAGUUGGCAUCCUGAAGGCAUCUAUCUCCCUACCUUUGCAGGUGAAACCCAUCAUUUGAGGGGUUUAAACUUUGAAAGAUCUGAUUUAAAGAAUCGACUGCUCAGGUGGCAAAACAAUUCAAUUAUUACUUUUGGGAGGUUAAAAGAUGCAUAUAGUACACUGUCUUAAGAAAGAACAAUGGUAAUAAUUGGAUUAAGAUCAUGGUCAUCUGAGAUUUUGAUGUUGUUGGGCAAGAAUUGAACAAGUAAUUAAAGGCUGGGAAAGCCAUGUAUGCCUGCUGCUAGCUGGUCAUCCUCAAAGCUGCAUUGAUCAAUAAAUAAAGAAUUCCAAAUUAUGUUUGUGUAUCAGAGAGAGAGAGAGAGAGAGAGAGAGAGAGAAUUCCAAGUUAUGUUCUCUUUUUUCUUUCUGUACACUCAGCAAAAUGCAGUUGAUAAUUUUUUAUGCUGAAUGUUAAUUGGUUGAAAAUUUCUUUUACUUUCAGAGUGCGCUGCCCUUUUAACUUGUCACCAAUAUCUGAAAAGACUGCCGUUUAGAUCUGGGAAAGAUGCUUCACUUAAGGAGUAUAAAGAUGUCAUAUGACUCAUAUCUGCAUCAACUGACCUUGCAGGUGCUCCUAUCUCAACUUGCCCACAAUUUUUUAUUCAUCACUGAUGACCACACCAAUUUUCUUCUGAGGACUUUCAAAAGAUUGAAGGUUAUGUAUUUUAGUAGCCAUUGCUGAGUUCUGAUCUGACUAGUGAAACUGUCCCAUGCAGCUCGAUCCAGAUGAUAUGUAUUUUCUCUUUUUCCUUUUUGUAUAACAGAUUAGAUUUUGUUCAAUUUGGACGCCCAAUGAUUUUAGUACUUCUAAUCAUGAUGAAUACCACAGUACAUGGCAUAAAUUUACAAGCUUAGGUUACAUUUAGUGAUCUCACUUCCCAGGCACAAAGUUGGUGGCAUAGGCCCAGGCGUUGUUGUUCACUGGGUCGGCUAGAUGGUCAGCAAGGUUCUCCAAAGGUCCUUUGCCGGUUACAAUAGCCUGCACAAAGAAACCAAACAUGGAGAACAUGGCAAGACGCCCGUUCUUGAUUUCCUUCACCUUAAGCUCAGCAAAUGCCUCAGGAUCAUCAGCAAGUCCCAAUGGGUCAAAGCUCCCACCUGGGUACAGAGGGUCAAUCACCUCACCAAGAGGUCCUCCUCCAAUGCGGUACCCCUCAACAGCACCCAUGAGGAUAACCUGGCAAGCCCAUAUGGCUAAGAUGCUCUGAGCAUGAACUAGACCCGGGUUCCCAAGGUAGUCGAGACCACCCUCGCUGAAAAUCUGAGCACCAGCCUUGAACCACACUGCCUCACCAAACUUGACUCCAUUUCUGGAGAGAAGCUCAGGGAAGACACAUCCCAAAGCCCCAAGCAUUGCCCACCUGCAGUGAAUCACCUCGAGCUCUCGGUUCUUGGCAAAGGUUUCGGGAUCUGCUGAUAGUCCUGCAGUGUCCCACCCAUAGUCACCAGGGAACUCACCGGUAAGGUAGGAUGGAGGCUCACCAGAAAAUGGUCCCAGGUACUUAACACGGUCAGGGCCAUACCAGGGGCUUCCAGAUGGCUUCGCAAAUGACUUCCUCAUUGAGAUUCUACCAUCGCCGCGAACCUUCGAUGAGAACUCUGUGCCUGGGUUCAACGGAACCACCUUGCCUACAAAUGGAGAUGAGAGAGCCAUGGUGGCCAUGUGAUAUGCCUGGUGCUGGGUGCUGAUGAUCCUAGUGAUUGAUUUGUUGAGUUUGGGAUUUCAAGAGUUUUCUUAUAUAAGGGUCUGGUGAGGUCCACAAUCCUAUCCCGUAGAUCUUCACCCUUGUCCUCAUUGGUCCAUGAGGUGCUUGCAUGGAUUCAAAAAUCCAACUCAUCCUCCCGGCCAAUCAAUGAAGGUUAUAAUAGAUUUUCUUCAAAUUAUUGUGAGAUUAUCCACAACCUAAAGUCAGUUACCUCUUGUGGGCUCCCAUUGGAGUUCAGAAUUUUAUAUCCUAUGACCGGUUGCUAUCUACUUCUUAUCAAGACCAGUUUUAUCAGGUUAUGAUAUUCUAUCACCAGGCUAAAAAUUUCACUUCCACAUGAAAACGUUGGAAACUUCUAUAGUAUGAUGUUGAAAUGCAAAAGUUAUAACUUAGAUGAAAAAAUUUUAUGACCAAGGUACAAGGUAGAGCAGAAGUUGGUGAGGCUGGCUUGAUUGAGACCUGGCAUUUGGGUGGGCUUGGACUUAAUUGGGUUGAGGCAAUUUUUACCCUAUCAUAUAGAGUACUAUAAGAUUAAGCAUAAUUCUACGUGUCUACCAAAGAUGGUAAUCCAAAGGUUCCAAACAAUUCAUGGAGGUAUAGGUUCCACCUAAGAAAAGGGAAUCCCAAAAUAGUAUAUGGCCGAGAUAUGGACACCACUCGAAAAAAGAGAAUCUGGAAAUAGUAAAUAGCAAGUGAAGAUGCAAACACGACUUGACAAGGGGAACCCAAGAAUAUCUUAUAGUAAGCAGGGGUACAAGCACUACUUGAGAAAGGAAAGCAUACGGCAAAUCAAGAUGCAAAAAGAAGCAAAGAUAGUCCAAGCUAAAGAAAGUUAUGUUAAACUCUAAAUCUGAAUUCAAGAGACCAACACCAACUCUAAAAAGGAGGUCGUACACAAGCAUUGACUUGGUAAUAAUUCAUAGAACUUAAACCUUUGAAAAAAAAAAACAAAUAGUCUUUCAUUUAAAUUAAGAGAAUGUAUGUUCUGAUAAAAAAAAUAUAUACUUGUUACAAUUAAUAAAAAUAAUAAAUUUGAUAAUUGAAAAAAUAAUUAUAACGUUUUAUUAAGAAACAAAUUAAAAACUUCCAAUAUAUUCCAAAUCUCUUUUAAGUAUUAUUUUCAAUUAAGGAAUAAUAUUUCAAAAGAAAAAAAAUUACCUAAUAGGUUUCAAAAAUCUCCUCAAAUGGUAAAUUUAAUUAAGGAAUAACAUCUUUAAAGAAAAAAAAAACUAUACAAAUAAGGAUCUUUGGAUGCUCCCAAGACAAAUCACAAGAAAAUCUCAAGUUUCAGACUUUAAGCUAUUCAAACUCUCAACCUUUCAAGCCAAGCCGAGAUUCAAAUCAAGUCAAGGUCUAAGUUAUGAGAAGACUCAAAACUAGAUUAAGUCAAAAUUCAAAUUAAGCUCAAACAUUUCGAUAUCAAACUUCUACAAGGAUUAAAUUAACAACUAUAAACAUGAUUUUUCUUAAAGAGAAAUUUGUACACAUAUUUACCUAAAAAUAUAUUUCCCAAAAAUAACAUGUAAUAGAUCAUACCAACAACAUCCCUUGAAGAGAUUAAAAAUCAAUCCACACUUCUAAGCACAAAAAAUAUACAAAGAAAAGAGAAGUCAUCCUUCAUUAUCUCCCAACUCUUUUGUUAGAGAUGUUUUUUCCCCCUUAAUAAUGUAACCCGAAAUGCUACUUAAAGUUAUCUUCAAUAGAUUGGCAGAAUGGUUGUAGGAUGAAUGUGACAAACGAUGGAUGAAUUAAAAAUAUCCCAUACAAAACGUUUUGAAUGUCCAUUAUCUUAUAAUAAUAUCAUGAUGUAUAUGAUUUGAGUUGUUUUUUCCUUCUCAAUAUAACAUCUAUAGUAGUGUGAGUCACAACACUCCCCAUGCCCAUGUUGGCAUGUUCCAUGUUGAUUAAAUAAAUAUUUCAUAUAUUAUUCCUAAUAUAUUACAUGUUUAAUAAUUAGGUAAUAUUUAAGUUUAUAUUUUUUAUAUGAUUAUUAUUUGUAUCGGAUUUAAUUUACCUAUAUAGUAAAAUAUUUAUAUUUUGACAUAAUUCAAACAUGACCCAUCAACACAAAUUAUUAUCAUUAAUUUUAAUGUAACAUUUAUAUUUUGAUUAUAUAAGAAAUAUUUUAAAAUAUUUGAAGUAAUAAUAUUUAUUUAUAUAUUUAAAAUAACAAAUAAGUUAUAUUUGGUUUUAAAAAUCAAUUACGCAUCAAUUUAAUCCUUAGAUUUUUAUUUAUUUUUUAAGAUAUGACAAUCACAUCUACUAUGUCUAUUAAUUUAAUUCAAAUGUCUUGAACGAUAACCAUACUCCACAAUUGCCAUGUUUUAUUUUCCAUGUUGGGUUUGUGUUCCGAGUCUGUCUACCAACCAAUCCAUCCAUCUUGAGAAAUGGAGUGUGUGAGAAGUCCACUAGGAGCAAGAACCAGACAGGGCACUGCACCAACCUUCUGGGAGUUCCCCAGAAAACACACAUCCGUGACCUGUCAUUGGGAAGUGGGAACCCCACCUAUCAAAUCCCAACUGCCGCACUACUUCCCCUCAGUUGUUGCCACGUCCAUUUGGGCUUAGCCUCAGCCUCUUAGCCUUCAACUCAGUGCCGCUGGUGGCUCGGUGUGUUCGGUCAUCAUUCACCAACCCCCAACUCCAACUCUACGAACCACGAUUUUCUCAGACAGGAGUUGGUGAGGUGGAGGACUUUUCAGGUCAGUUAGGUAUUAAGUUUUACCCUACGCUUCUAAGUCUUCUGGUUGUUUGACCAAUUUUGGUUGGGAGUCGAAGUAAAGCUGCACUCUCUAAAAAAAAUUCAUUUUGAUGAACUUAAAAAUAAUAAUUAUAUAAAUAUGCACUUUAAUAAUAACUAUUAUAAAUUUAGAAAGUUUUUGUGAGCUUUUUUCUUUCAUGACUCAUUAUUAUUAUUUUUAAAUAUGCUAGUUAUAUAUUUUAUAAAAUCUUCUUAAUUUCAUUUUUUUCAUCGUCUAAGAUCAUAUUUUAUGAAUUAUUUUUGUAGAACCUCAGUCGCUAUCAACUCUCCUAAAAGCAAUUGUUGUUAGAAAAGGCGCAUACCCUAAUCUUAUACUACAUUCAUCAAAGCGCCCACGGCGAACACAAUAGGAGUUGAUGGACUCGACCAACCUUCCGAUCUGCCAACAAUCUCUCCAAACCCCCCCCCUCCAGCGACACCCCUGGGGUAGCAUUCAUCCAAGCGCCCACGGCGAACACAAGGGGAGUUAAUGGACUCGACCAACCCUCCGAUCUACCAACAAUCUCUCCCCUCCACCCCCAGCGACACCCUUGGGGUAGGAAAGACGCAUACCCUAACCUUAUACUGUAUUCAUCCAAGCGCCCACGGCGAACACAAGAGGAGUUGAUGGACGCGACCAACCCUCCGAUCUGCUAACAAUUUCCCCCCAAACGAUACCCCUGAGGUUCGAACCCGUAAUCUCGACUCUGAUACCACUUAUAGGAUGUCAAGCACUACCAACUCUCCUAAAAGCAACGCUGAGGUCUUACAAUUUUUUUUCAAAAUACAUACACUUUGAAAAUAAAAUGGUCAAACUUCUUAAAAAUGUAAUAUUUUUUAAAUAGUGUAUGUUUAUAUCAUUCUCCCGAUACAAUAAGUGAAUAACACCAGGCAUGAUUGUACUAAAAUUAUUAACACCCUUCAUGAAAACCAUUUCAUAUUUUUAAAAAUUAAAAUUAAAAUAUUUUCUAACUUCAAAAAAAUAUUUAAUAAUUUUUUUAUAGGAAGCUCUUUUUAAAAAUUUGUUUUAAUAACUUUUGUUUUUAAAAUAAAUUUAAUUUAUUUUUAGUCAUUUUAAAACUUUUUUUUUAAAAUAUUAUCAAACAAAUCCUGAAUUUCUAUUAUAAAAGUCAUGAAAAAUUAUUUAAAAAAUUACUAUUUUUAAAUUCAUGAACUAUUGAAUCUUCACCCAUACAAGAAAAGAAAUAUGACACUUUCUUUGAACCUAUUCUCCAAAAUUUCUCUUUGAUCGGAACUCAUAUCACUUGUCUCCAUCUUUAUUAUUUUUGGCACCACCUUUAGUGUUAUUAUUGCUUAUUGAUAUCUUCAUAUCUUGAAUGGUUGAGACCAACUUUGAAGUGGUGAUGUUGCUUCAAAGAUAAGAGAACAAAAGGCUCAUGUUGAUAACUUCAUUCUGCCGUGCUCAAGUGGCUUCAUAUUUUGUCAUCUGAAUAAAAAAUAAUUUUUGUAAAAAUAAAUAAAAAUGAAAAACUAUUUAAUUAAAAUAAAUUUCAAAAUUUACUUCCUUAAUAAUUUUUUUUUCAACCAUUUUGUUCAAACAUUUUUCUUUUUUACUUAUUUUUAAGUUUUGACCAGGACAAAAUAUGAAUUAGUGCUUAUACUACAUUAUUUUAAUUAAAAAAGAUUAUUAAAUUAAGUUAACUUCUUUCCAUUUGCUGGAUUUUGUAGAUAUUUAAUAAAACUUAAUACUUAUAACUUAAUAAUUUAAAUUGAUCUUAAAUUAAAUUGUUUUUAAGUUAUUAAUUUAAAACUUAUUACUUAUUUUUACUUUUAAUUACGUUUGAUAAAAUUAAUUUAAAAUUUAUUUUAAGUUAUUAAAUUGACAUAUUUAUACUCAUUAGUUAUAAUUAAUAUUUAUUAUUAAAAAUAUUUAAUUAAUAUUUAUUUUCAUAAAAGAUGAGUAAUGAAUGUGAAGUUAUAGUUGUAAAAUAUAUUUUUAUUAUAUUUUAAUAAAUAAGAUAAUAUAUAUAUGUGUGUGUGUGAUUAAUAAUAAGUUAAUUAUUUUGACUUAAUACUUAAAGUCAUUUUUAAUUUUAAGUUAUAAUAUUAAGAUAUUUUACCAAAUAUACUCAAUAACUUAAAUUAUUAAGUUAUUAAAUUACUUUUAAGUCAUUAAGUUGAUUUACCAAACAUCCUUCUUUAAUUUAACUUUUACCUUUCUAUAUCCAUGUGAAAUGAAAAUGUAAAUGAAGUAUAAUCUAUUAAAAAUUAUUUAGGGUUUAAUACACUUUAUCCUCUCAACCUAUCUCAUGUUUUGCACAUUGCCCCUUUAGGUUUAAAUCGAACACAUUGCACCUUAAGCUUCUUAAAUUGCAGCAUUUUGCCUUUUCACGGGGUUAGUUUAGGCCGUGAUUGAUCGAUAAAGGGUAGAUUUUUAAAUUCCUAAAUCCAAUAAGUCUCUCACCCCUAACCCUGUUUGGCCGAGAAAAUGUAAAAACAAAACAAAUCAAAGUUUUUAAAUUGUAUAUCCAUCAAUGUUACUACAAUUAGUUAACAUAGUUGAGUUGAGUAGAGAUUUCAAUUUCCUUACAAAAACCAUAUCAAAGAAAACCCACAAUAACUUAAAAUUCCAAUCUUUCCUCUUUUCCUUCACUUUCUUAACAACCAAACAACAAGAACAUGUAAAGUCAAACCACCAAAAUCCCACCUUUCACCAAGCAUUGCACAUACAAACAAUUUCACCCAAAUGUGCACCAUUCAAAAUCAAUCCAGUAACCAAAAACCAAAAAAAAAAAAAAUCAUUCCAAUAAUCACACAAAAAAUUGUCUAUUUGCAUACCCCCAAAUUUCAAAACUCCAAGCUCCCUUAGCUCCUUCUUCAGAGGCGAAAGAUCUAUAAUGCAUAAGAAAAGAAUCUAUGAUUAGGGUUUGAAAAUUGGAGUAAGAAGGAGGAGAAGAUAGUAAGAAGACAAAGACAAAAUGCUAAAAUUGUUGACCACCUUUUGAUUUGAGAAUUUACAAAAUCUACCUUUCAUUAGUUAGUCACAUGCAACACGUGAUAUUUUCGUUUACUUAAACUAAUACCGUCCAACAAAAAAAGUAAAGUAUUGUAAUUUAAAAAGUUUGAGGUGUAAUGUGUUGGAUAUUAAACCUAAAAGGGUAAUGCGCAAAAUCGAUUACUUAAUAUGGGUUUAAUUUCCAAAUUAAUUUUGACACUUUAAAAGCUAAAACGAAAACAAUUUUGGGUAAUUGUGCGUAAGUGGAGCCAAGAUGACGUACCUCAGUCUCACAACUUCAAGCGAGCCAAGCCGACGCCAUCAGCCAUCAGCCAUCAGCAAUUAAGCCGAUAACCGGCGAGAGUUGGUGAGUAACCGCCUAUUGCCUGUAACAUCUACUCCCGUAAUAAUUAUUAAAUUAAAAUCACGAAGAAGUCAUGCAAUUACAAGACCCUAAAAGUAAAACACACACCCGAACAAAGCGGUGUCGUUUUCACUUACCAACCUUCACCAAUCCCAGAUUAUGAAUAUCUGACAUCCAACGGUAACAAACCCUCACGAAACUCAUCACCAACCGUCGGAUCAAGAUUCCACGCAAAAACCCACAGAAUCCCACUUCUCAGCCGGUACCCGGUCUCCAGAUCCAUUCAUCUAUAAAUAGUGGUGCAAAGUCCUGAGUAGUUGAACUCUCCAUCCGUCAACAGAGCAAAGCUUGAGAUCUGCUCUCGCACUACUUCUCUUUAUCUCAGGUAUUCUUUCUCUCCGCAUCAUCUUCUUCUUCUUGUUUUGGAGUUCGUUUGUGUGGUGAUGCUGCAGAAAACAAUGUGUUUUUGUUUUCAAAAACGCUCUCGGAGUUGUUUUCUGUUGUGUGAUCGACUAGAUCUGGUUGUUGUCAGCAUUUAUUUGCUUCCUGUUUUGCGUUUCUGGAGUGAUACUUCGUUUCUGAGUGAGUUUGAUUGAAACAGUGGUAGAUCUGGUUUAUUUUCAGUAAGAGUUUUGAAAUUUGGAGAUCUGGAAGUUUGUGAGUUGUGAUUUUGGAUGUUUACACAUUAAUGCUGUUGAGUACCGUAUAAUAAAUGAAUUAUCUUAAUUUCUUGAAAGGAUUGCGUAAAAUGGGUUUCAUAGAGUGCUUUUGCAGAACUUGUAAGCAAGGACACUGAGAUUUUGAGCUGACUGCAAUGUCUAAGCAAUUGUUAAGUGAGUUUUUGAGAUGUAGUAUUUGUCUGAUAUCUCACACAUUUUCGGAGUGUUUUUCUGUGUAAAGCUGUUAAUGUUUCUCCUUGUCUGUUUCGUUCUUCAACUUGAUUUUGACGCCUUAGUCUCUCAGAUCUGAUGGUAUUUUGGAAUGUUGUGUUGGCUAGUUUACGGUAAUUUAGAGAAAUCUCUGUUCUCACAGGAUGGACUUAUAGAAUGAACCGUAUUGGGAAACAAAUGGUAGGACGUGGUAUAAUGCCUGUAGGGAAGUCUUUUGUAAACAAAGAAUGAUUGGUUUUUUGGAUUGAUCGUCAAGAGCAUGGAUGGUAAUUUUUCGAAAAAUCGGCCGAUUUAAUAGUCGUGUCUAUUCACGAGGUUCCGGAUGGUAUGGCGUUGCCCUUCCAAAAGCUUAUUUGGGGAAUGCAUUAUUUUUCAUAAUCUUAAUAGUGCUCCAUCUCUAUAGCUAUUCUCUUCUCUUCGAAGGAUUUCUUUUAGUAGUGUCCAUUUCUAUUUUGCUUAUACUUUAAGGUCAGGAAUUGUUCGACAAUUAAUUCAGGGGUGGAUAUGCUGUUGUACCCCAGUUGUGGAGAUUUCAACUGCCAGUACGAGAAGUAGUAUAAUGGGUGUGUAGUGUAUUACUAAUUACUGAAAAACGAAAAUGCAGAAGGCUUUGCUUGGAUCUCAGAAAAGAUGUGGGUAAGGGAAGUUACUGCUAAAUAAAUUUUAUGAGAGGAAUUCUUCUUUUACCUAAUUUUCAUCAUUUUCCGAGCAUUUUUCACAUUCUUUUCAUAAUCCAAAUGUAGCAUAAGAAAAUCUCGCAGAAGUCUCCUAAAUUUUGCCAAAAGAAUAAUAUGUUUUUGUAGUUACAAUAAAUUUACUUGUUUUUCUCCAAGCUGAUGGAGUUGACACUAUGGUUUGUAACACGUUUUACUGCGUUCCAGAUUCCUUACAACUUUAUGUCAAAACAGUAAAGAAUCUGCCCUUUUUCCUCUUUAAUUAUUCUCCUGGGAGUAGACUUUUGUGGGUCUGAUUCUCUCUCCUGGUGAACUCUGACCCUCCAUAGUAGUGAAAUGAUUCGACAUACCAUGUGUCAGUUAACCAAUCAUGAAGAACAUACAUGUUUUUUUAUUCUUUCUAGUAUAUUCUUAUCAAUAGGAUUUGUUUAUAUUAACCUCAAUAAAGCUUCUUGUCUAAGGAGUUAUUGUUCAUCAAUUUAUACUAAGGCAUGCUGUUGUGCUUGUGGCCUGUGUAGCUUGAAAGAAUGGAGACCUUCCUAUUCACUUCUGAGUCUGUAAAUGAGGGCCAUCCCGACAAGUUGUGUGACCAGAUCUCUGAUGCAGUGCUUGAUGCUUGCCUUGCUCAGGACCCUGACAGCAAGGUUGCCUGUGAAACAUGCACCAAGACCAACAUGGUUAUGGUGUUUGGAGAGAUUACCACCAAGGCCGAUAUAGACUAUGAGAAGAUUGUCCGUGACACAUGCCGCACCAUUGGAUUUGUCUCUGAUGAUGUGGGUCUUGAUGCUGAUAACUGCAAAGUCCUGGUCAACAUUGAGCAGCAGAGCCCUGAUAUUGC
rnacentral:lncRNA from 1 species